ACGGCAACACUGAGAACUGCGUGCUGUGCGGUGUGGGCGGCAGCCUCAUCUGCUGCGACCGCUGCCCCGCGGCCUACCACCUGCGCUGCAUCGGCCAGACGGCGCACAGCAUACCGGACGGAGAUUGGCUGUGCCCCGAGUGCGCAGUCGGCGGAAGGGGUAAGAGCCGGAAAGGGGGAAUGCACGCGCGCAGAUGUAUGUGCGUGUGGGUGUUUGUGCUCUCAUUAUGUGCGCCCAUGUCUCUGUCCGUGUCUGUCUGUCUGUCUGUCUGAGUACAAGCGGCGUGUUGAGGGGCAUGGCUGGUGAGCGGCUGGCGAUCUCCGCCUGUCUUCCCGCUUCGCUGCUUUCCUUCGCCAGGGUCCGGACCGGGCGCCCCACCUCGCCUCCUUGCAUACCCCUCCCACCGGCCUCACUUAGCGACCGCUCAUCGACCUCUAAUCAUCCAUCCUCUCCCAGCUCUUUAUGUACAUGCAAUUCGCGUAUGUGUAUAUUUUGCCAUAGCUGUUCUUCAAAGCACCGCACACACAUAUCGUGUACAAAUAUGCGUUCAAGAGGCGCUCCGCCAGCAUGUUGAGAGGCCUUUUCAGCGGGAGGCCAGCUACUACAGUAUCGAUGUGGUUCAUGUGUCCCCCGUCCCGCUCCCCCUCAUUGGCAGGGGAGUCAGCCGGGCUGCGUGUGCCCAUCACGGGCCUCAGCCUCCUGACGGGCAACCCCACCUGGGUGGCGUACGGGUACGCCUUCCCAGCGCAGUGCCUGCCCGCGCCACGAGGCGGGGGAAGUAGCGGCACCAGCAGCAGCCUCAAUCCCUUCGCGGCGCUACUGCCCCCGGAUGCGGAGUUCCACGGCUUCCGGUUGCUGGUGGGGGACGAGGCCCAGCGGGACGUGGCGGGGCUCCGCAGGUGGGUGGUGUGUGGUGGCGGGAUGUGGUGGCGGUAGGUAGCGAUACAGAUAGACCUAGGACAGGGUAGGACUGAGUGGAGUGGAGUGGAGCACGGCUAGAAAUAGAGGUCACCUUCCGGGUCUGUCUGCUUCGCGCAGUGUCGAGUGUAUGAUCGUCCCAGGGCCAUACCGGCCAUACUCGGUAGCAUGGGGGAGGGCAUGUGGGGGUUUUCUCACCUCGCCGCUACUUCCUAAGGCGCCCUUUUCACUGUCCCCCCACCCCGGCGGAAGGGUCGCGAGUGCGGGAGGGAGGGCCUCGGGACUAGCUAAGCUAGGCUAAGCUGUUCUCUGGUCCUUUCUCCUCCUCCUCCUCCUCCUCAUCUCCUCAUCAGCUUUCUCCCUCCUAACCCUAGGGCGUCGACUUGCUGCUGCGGAAACAAGUGCUCACUUUUGCAUCUCACAUAAAUGUCCUCUACUUCUCUCUUAACUCCUCCAUACACCCCUCCUUGUCCUUGUCCUCGUUCUUUUCCUUCGCAGGCCUCGCCGCUGGCCUGAGGACGUGCCCCACCCCUCCUCCACCGUCGACCUCCUGACCGGGCCGAAGUCGGGGUGCAAGUCCGGACCCGCGGACCCCACUUCCUACGAGAACAGGUGCGUGGUGAGGGGUCUUACCUUAUUGAAACACCCUAGGGGGCCGCUCUGUAACUGUCAUACUGUAUGUUGCUCUGUCCCGAACCCAAGUGGGUUUCCCUCUCAGCUUUUUAUAGCGAAAAUGAUAAUGGUGUUGUUGAUGAUGAUGUUGAUGAUGAUGAUCCUCCCAAAUCCGUAGAAGCCUAGCGGCUCGGCAGUUCGAUGUUGGCGCAGAGGGCUGCUGCCGUGAGGCAUGUGGCAUGUGUCGGCCUGCCUGCCGAAAAUAAGAUUAGGUGUUUGGGGAUGGAGGGUAUAUUUGUUGCCGUACUGACCAGUACUUUACUUUCCAGUGGUCGUACCGCGGACCUUUGUUAUUUUCCAGGGUCCUGUUUCCGAUUUGCUUUGUCUGUCUGUCUAUCUGUCUGUCUAUCUGUCCGCUACUGCAUUCCCGGUGAUGCAGGUAUCGCUCCGCCUGGCAGACGUACGUGCAAGCCAUGAAGGUACGUGAUAACGGUACGGCUGUACUACGGUAAUGGGGUGACUCACCCGCGGUGUGCGUCACCUGUACUGUACCCCCAUCUUCUCCUUUCUCCUCCCUCCCUCCUUUCCCGCGCCCUCCUGCACCCACAAAACAAUUCGAGUCAUCCGCGAGCACCUUGUUCUGGUCGGUCAACGUUAAACAAAUUUUGAUGUGUAACUGGUUGCUUAGGUUUUUGUUGGUGAAUUGUUUCCCUCGCUCUCCACAGCUGCCCUGCCCUGCCCCACCACCUCCUCCCCUCACCCCUUCCCUCCUCCUCCCGCCCUUGCCGUCUCAGGCCGCGCAUGAGGUGGAGUACAAGAAGUCCAAGAGGGCGGGCGCCACUCCCGCCUCGGCCCUGGCGGUGCCGCUGCCGCUACCCACAUUCUCCUGGCCCACAUUUCAGGUGGGGUGUUCAGGGCGGGGGGAAAGCGGGGAUUGCUCGAGGACGCGGGAAACCUGCUGUGCGCAUCCAUCCAUCCACCCAUCCAUCCAUCCUUUUAUACGUCCAUCCACUCCCCGGCUGGUCGUAUAUCGUGAAAGGAGGUGUGCUCCUUCGGCGACCUGGCGCCGCGUGGCGGUUGCUUCAUAUGCUCUUGUGAUGCUCACAGGCCUUUACGCGGCGACACGUGCUUCACGCCUUAAGAGGCCCGGAGCGGUCCGCUAAGACCGCCUCCACCGCACCGCACCGCCAUACGCAGCCUUGCGGUUUUAACCUUUUAAUCGUCACUGCCUUUUUGCUUCGGCUCGUUCCUCCUUGUGCAGGGUCGUGGCGUGGUUUCGGUGCCGUGUGGUUUGUGCCGCAGCUGCACCACCUCCCUCAAGCCCGGUCGGCCGUGUCUCAAGCCGCUGCUGGUGGACGAGGGCGCCAGUACGGCGGCGGAGCUGCCGCAGACAGGUCGAUUGGCGGUGCUGCAGGUGGGUGAGGGGGUGUGCGGAGCGCGUCAGUGCCCCCCUGUGCGGCCGGAAGCAGGGGAGGUGGAGCCGAGAGGCAGGGCAGCUGCCCGACAGGAGAGAGCGUAGCGGAGAUGCGCUGGGGUUGGAACGGCGGGGGGGGGGAGAAGAAGAGAGACCUGGGGGCGGGGCCCUUGGCGUUCAUGUUUGUCUGGGUUCCAUUUCGUAACCUGUAAACCUAGGGGGCCCUACGAACCCGCUCACCCCUCCACACACACACACACACACACACACACAGGAGCUACCCACCUCAAGGUAAUUGUUUCCAUCUAAAGGUUGUUUAUAUUCUAAUCUGAACCUCUCAGCAAAGUGUGCUUUGGGGGGUCGGUCGGCAUUUGUUUCCUUGACUUUUGCUGGUACUACCACUCACACGGUUAUUCUCCAUCCAACGUCGAGUCCGACCCCGACCACCUGCCCUGCUGCUGCAGCACUACUUGCUUCGCACGGAGCAGGAGCUGUGGGGGUUGCUUGACGGCGGUUGGGCGGGAGGCGGCGGUCGGGGGCUGGAGUACCGGCGGCAGUGGAUGCGGGCCGUCUCUUCGGCGGGGACACCCGAGCAGCUGGCGCCGAGGUUCUUGGAGCUGGAGGCGGCCCUGAGGAGGUGAUGCGGCCGGGCGGGCGGAUUUAGGGGCUUGGAGACUGAGGGAAGUAGGGACGUAGAGGCUUAGAGACUGAGGGAAGUAGGGGCGUAGAGGCUUAGAGACUGAGGGAAGUAGGGGCGUAGAGGCUUAGAGACUGAGGGAAGUAGGGACGUAGAGGCUUAGAGACUGAGGGGUUUAGAGACUGAGGGGUUUAGAGACUGAGGGGGAAAUUGCCUUUGACCAGCCAGCUGUGGAUGUGGGUGUUUGGUCGCAGGAGUACUGUCGCGCGUUCGUUAGGUACAGCGGGGAGUCAGCUCUCCCCCCGUCUUGGCCGACGUCCCACGGGCUUUUCGCUUUCAGUACCUUGAGUACUUUCCUUUCCCGCACGUCCCUCUCUUCCCCCCUCCUGUCAUGGCGGCCGCCCAUGUGCUGUCUGUCUGUCUGUCUGUAACAUGCGAAAGCGUUAUAUGCGGCGGGGAUGCAAUUCCUGCCACGAGGGGAGGGGGCCCUCCGUUGGCAUUUGGGGAAAUUUUUACCUCGCGAUCGUAACGCCGGUUGCGCUGGCGGUUGGCGGUUGGCGGCUGUCCUGCAGGUCGCUUCCCAUCUUCACGUUGCAGUGGGACCCGUACCGUCGGGACCCGGCAGAGCUGGCGGUGCUGGAGAACAUGGCGGCGGACCGGCGGCGUGACGCCGACUCGUACCGCCGCCGCCGCAUCACCAGCAUGCUGCCGCCGCCCAAGAAGGGCCCCGGUAGGCCGCCGCGGAAGAAGAUCUCCCCGCACCUGCAAGCGUGGAAUGAGCUGCGGUCGGCGCAGGCGGCGGCGGCCCGCGCCUCCGCUGCCUCGGCUGCCGCCACCGCGAUGCCGGACGACGGCGGCACUGAGGGCGGCAACAGCGAGAUGAUGGGGGAUGAGGGCGGCGAGUCGGAGGCGGUCGGCCGGCAGCGCGAUGGCGACGGCGCGGAAGGUACGAACACGACCUGACCGAACACGACGUUCUUUUUCCCUGGAUUUCAUUUUCGGGGUUAAAUACCCCGGUCUGAACGGUUAGAGGGAUUGUUGCCGUUGCGGACCCCCCUUUGAGGGGUUGCGGCUGUAUCCUCAGGGUCCUGAUCCAUCAAAAGUGGAGGGGAGGGGACCGGAACGUCAAGUAAAGAACAACACCAAGGGCUGGGACACCUUUCUUUUCUAUUAUUGUUGUUGUUAUUAUUAUUAAAUUAAAUUAUUAUUAUUAUUAUUUAAAGUAUUGCUUCGGUAUUCUUAAGCUACUUUUUCCGUUUUGAUCGUGCUGGGUUUUCCGGGCCCUGCCUUCACUCCUAGGACUUCCUAACCUUCCUCCCUCCACCUCUCCUCAGGCGGAGAUGACGACGGGCUGACGGAGGCGGGCGACCUCCCCAGCCAAUCGGGACAGAGGGGGGGCACCCCCCUGGAUGACUCCCAACAACAACAACAACAACCUCAGAUGCAGACUCAGCAGCGGAGGCCGCCGCGGCGCUCCGGAACCGCCUCCGAGCAGCAAACACCCCAGCAGCACCUGCAGCAGCAGCAGCAGUUCGGGGGCCAGGACAGCGACAACGAGGGAAUGGAGGGCGGGGAGGGCUCGGUCAUGGUGGGAGGUAGUGGGGGAGGAGGAGGAAGAAGAGGGGGAGAUGCGGGUUCAGUGCAGCGGUUGUCGCGGCGGCGGCAGCGUGGCGGGUCGGGGGAGGGUGCUGGCGGAGGCGGUGGCGGCGGGGCAGGACCGUCAGCAGGCAGCCGUGGCGGUGAGUUAACAGGUACCGGGCCACCCAGUGGCGCUCUUCCUGGUGCGGUCCUUACCCUUCCUGCGGUCCUAUCACGGAAGUUUCUUUUUCCCGCCUUCCUUCCCUCCGUUCCUGGCAGCAGCUUCACUCGUUCGUGGUUCGUCUUUCCCUCCCUUCCUGCUAGGACUUAGGACGCCUUCCGGCAGUUCAUUUCUGGUUUCCUUGCUGCAUAUGAUUUCCCCUCUAUUGCCUCCUGCCGCCCGCCGGCGGUACCCGUUCUCGCGUUGUGGUUAGACAUCGCCAGUGCAAAACCACAUGCCCGGUCUCCGCCGUACCUCCUCAGCUGUACCUCUUCCUCACGUCUUUCACGAAGCUGCAGUCUACUUCCGUUGACUGGACGUGAAUUGUGUGUGUUGUAUGUGUAUGUGUAUGUGUGUCUCGCCCUCCGUCGCUCUCCCCUUCUUCCUUCGCCAUCACUAUCAGCAUCAUUAUCACCACGAUCAUCGUCGUGACCAUCAUGACCAUCAUUAUCAUCCUGCAUCUCGCGAGCUAUUCUUCUCCCCAUCGUGCUGUUUCCCUCCGUCUCACACACCCAACCCAUAUGUGUGUAUGUGCCGCAGCCGCAGCCCCGGGCAGCCAGCCCGACCCCGACAUGCCUCGUCCGCCCGGGCUGGAGGGCGAGCUGGUGCUGGAUAAAUGGUAGGAGGAUUCCGGUUGGGUGGUUGCGCCCGUCCUUCCCCCCUCCCCCCCCACACACAUGCCGUUCCCCUCGCCGUUGCUACUCAUACAUCCGCUUAUCGAUAGCAUCUUCUUAAAUCGUCAGUGGCUCGUCUUACCCCUAUCACCAUCCGCCCCUACAACCGUGCGGUCCCCAGGUGGCGCGAGCUGUUGGCCUCCUACGGCGAGGUGGACGCAGUGGACCUGCUGGGGGCCGCGGCUGCCAUGGGACUGGGGAGUGACAUCCUAGGGCCCCCGGACAGGCGGCUGGCGCUGCGUAAGGCCCGCACCGGCUGGUCCUGGUGGCGCCCCGUGACGCUUCGGGCGGAGGGCUACUUGGUGCUGCCCAGGGCUAUGGCGAGGUCGCUAGCACGCAAAGGCGGCACCACACCGCUGAACCAGGUAGUUUCGGAGGGGGGAAAGGAGAGAAGGGGGAAAAGGCGGGGUACGGGUGUGGGGUGUAUGAUGGCUGGUGCUAUGACUUUGCAGUUGCUUUUUAGGCCCUUUGGCUCUCACGAGAAGUGCAGCUGUCCUUGUCGAGCCCUCCGGCCCCGUGUCCUUUUGUUUUUUUGGCUUUCUCGCUUAAGUACUCCUCGUAUUCCUUCUCCCCGCCCCCGUGUCGUAUACAAGAUCCCCCUCACCCGUUCGCUCCUCCCACCGGCAAACACACGCACGCACACGCACAGGGCGUCAUCUACCACACCAACCUGCGUCACAACAUGUCGCAGCGUCUCAGCUGGAUAUCGGUGACGGAGAACGCCUCGUCCAUAGCGCAACUGGCGGUGCAGGUGCGACAGCUGCUAAAGGGCAUGGGCCUGGGGGUUGGCGGGUUGUGGGGGGUGGGACGGGGGCCAUUGUGCAGGGGGCUAGGGGGGGACCGCGCACGAGUUAGCGAUGUCCCCCCGUCUUAAAAAGAGGCCCUGGACGGCAAAGCCACGGCCCACGGAAAUACACGUGCAGGAGAGAGGAUGUGGGGUCCUCUCUCCCCUCUCCAGCCGGGGGCUGCGGCAGUCGACCGUGACGGGUCGCCAGUCGGGGGAGGAAGUAGCACCGCCUGAUGGCAGCAACACCCAACAAGAAAAAAUCACUCAGGCCCCCAGCAACUUCGUGUCCGUGUCCCUCAUUUCACAUGCCUCCCCCGGACCGUGAGAGAUUUCUCCGUUGUGAAACCCUUUUCAUGACCUGGCAUCAUGACUUGCUUUUGUUGUAUGCAUGUAGUGUUGCUUCCGCCGUGUACUGUUCCUCUUUGUCCUGAUUACGAUGCCUGCACAACUAGGAUUUUUAUCAUUUUUUAUACGGCGUGUUGCUUCCGCCAUGUACUGUCCUCAUUGUCCUCACCCAACAACCCGCUCUAAAAAAACGUACUCCUAAAAAGGCCGCUCCUUGACGCUUCGCAUUUUCCAUAAGGCCCGCGUGCUGGAGGACGCCAUCCAGUGGGACCGCAUCCGGCGACCCCCCUCAGCGGCGGCGGCGGCGGACGACCCCUCCGCCGCAGCGGCCGCCUCCAUGAUUCCCCCCGAGUACGGCCCCUUCGUCAACUGCAUCGUACUGGCCAAGCGCCUAGUGGAUCUAGGGCGCCGGUGAGGGCGGGCGAGGCGGGAGGUGGGAGAGACCUAUCAGCCUGCAAAGGGGGGGGGCCCGCUCAGCCACCUCCGCCCUAGUUCCAAAAAGGGUACCAUAGAGCUACAGCUCAUACAUAUCAUGGAUUUGGAGUCAGGCAGUGUCCGGCAGGUUCUCCCGGCGGGCUGCAUCCGCACGUGUGUGCACAACGGGCACCCUCAUUCCCUGAACCCCGACCCCCCACACCCCCUUUCCCCACCCUUUCCCCACCCUUUCCCCACCCCACCCCACCCUUUCCCCACCCCACCCCACCCUUUCCCCACCCCACCCCACCCCACCCCACCCACCCCCACCCCACCCCACCCCACCCUACCCCGGGCCCCAGGGUGGAGUACCUGCUGGCGCCCGAGGGCGGUGCGGAGGCGGCCCUGCUGGGUCAGGCCACCCACCCACCCGGCUGGCAGCAGAAGCAGCUGGGAGGAUUCAAAAUACUCACACCGGCGGCAGGUGGGUGGCUGACUGGCUGGCUGACUGGUCAUUACAGCUGGGUUGGGGAGUGGCCAGCAGCAGCACAUACACAUGCACGUACACAGUUAGACCCCCGCGAAUCGCUCUGCUCAGGGCGAACAAGAGCGCCGCUCCACGGCGUUGAGACUGAGGGCGCAAGGAGGGGGCUGCUCUCCGUUGGCAGAACGUUGGCAGUCCCUUAGUAACGAUAGCAGCAGCAGCAACACCAGCUGCAGGUACACGGCAGCACAUCCCACUGACAUCCCGUUUUCUAACGGCCGCUCCUACACCGACCCCCCGACCAUCUCCCGCGUUCUCAAGCACCGAAGUUCCCAACCCCCGGUAAAACGUCGUAGGUCUAUCUCGCUGGGUGGAGGAGAGCUCCGUGCCUCUGUGGCUGCUGAGGGCCUUCGAGGAGCGCCUGCGUAACGCCGCGUACCGGCAGUGCAUCAACGGCGGACCGGCAGGACCCGCACCGCCGUUGGAAGGUGUCGCUCGCGUUCUGAUUGGGGACGGGGGAAGCAGAAUUUGAUUGACUUAGACACCACCACUAGGUCGCCGCGGCCCCGCACCAGGUCUCCCACCAACCCCAUUCAAACACGGGAGGAAAGCAACAUAAUACAGACGAACAUACAGGCAACAAGGACAGUCCCUCCUUCCCGUCGCUUUUCUCAGGUCCUCCCUGCAAAUGGCGACGUCUGAAGCACGCACACCCACACUGGGAAGGGAGAACCCUAGGGGGAGAGGCGGAAUUCCCUACGGACGGCCUGCUUUAUGCUUUCGUUCGUAUCACCACCCGCACCUGAUCAUUUGUGUUUCCGUGCUGCUGCUUAUUCACCUGUUUCCUAAAGCUUACUUUGUUUGUUUUCGUGUUACAGCCGUAUGACCUUAUCGACCCUGCGGAAUGGUGGUUGUUGUGCCUGGGGGCUGGUCGCAGGUGACGCAGGGGGGGAUGCCGCGGAGGCGGCCAACCGGGGGGCCGGCGGCGGCGGCGGCGGCGGCGGCAGUAGCUGUCGCAGUAGCAGCACCUGCCUGGUGUGUGGUCUGUCGCGCUCCGACACCGCCUUCGCGGCCCUGACGGCCGGCGGCGGCUGGGUGUCUUGCGCGGGUGCAUUCGGCUCCUGCUCCACGGGGUGCCACGCGGCUUGUCUGGGCGCGACUGAUCCCGGCAACCGAUCCAAGUGGAUGUGCCAGUGAGUUCAGUGGAGUGUGUAGGUCGUAUGGGGGGGGAGAGGAGGUGGGGCCUGGAGGGAUGUGGUGGGUACGUGGGGGAGCUCCUGGGUUGGGGGGAUCUUGCCCUUAGCCAGCUUUUACAGAAUUUCCGGAUUGAAAUUUGUGAAUGUGUGAAGUGGACUCGUUUGAUGUUGGAGCAUUUUCCCGAAUCAAAAUGCCAUUCUGUUAGGUGAAUUUGGCACCUUCGGUCGUUACUGCUGUUGCCGCUGCUUACCCGGCAGCUGCUGCGGCAGGUACUGCGACUGCGACUGCGACUGCGACUGAUUGUUAUUCCGUAAACUGUUGCCGCCGCUGUGGCUGCCGAACCACAUGCGAUAGCACCAUGUUUUAAAUGUUGUUGGGCGAACAGUUUCGUUGCUGUUGUUAAUUAGCUGCGGGGCUGCGGUUGCUGCUACUGCUACUGCUGUUGCUGCUGCUACUGCUGCUGCUGUGGCUGUUUCCUCACCACCACUUCUGCUGCUGCGGCUGCUGCUGCUAUCGCUGCUCUCUGGCGCGGUGGCCAGGCGUUGCGCCAAUGAGAUGCUCACCCAGCGGCAGGCGGCGGUGGACAAGUACGUGGCGAGGCGUACGGCACGUGGCGCCAUGGCGGUGUCACUGACGCCACGUCAGCUCCUGGAGCAGGCUCUGGCGGAUGCGGCGGCGGUGGCGGCGGGCCUCAACCCGGAUGGCGGCGAGUUCCCGGCGCUUGGCGGCGCUGGCAGAGCGGGGUCCGAGGAGGGUGAGGGCGAUGGGGAGAUGGGGGAGUUGGGCGGCGGCAGGACGGGGCGGGGCCGUGGUCGCGGUCGUGGCCGGGGCCGCUGGGGGCGCGGCCGGGGACGCAGCGCCGCGGCGGCGGCGGGCGACGGCGCGGACGGCAGUGGCAAUGCCGACUUGCGGCGCGCUGAGGAGGUGACGGAGGCGGAGCAGCGGCGGGGUCCCGCGGAGGGCGGCGGUGACGGCAGCGAGCUGUACUGCAUCUGCCGGAGCCCCUGGGAGCCAGGCACGGUAGGUGGUGUGUUCGCCGCGCACAUUCUAUACCGUGUUCCGUAUCGGCUUCACCUACAGCCCCUUGCCUGCCCGCCUCCAUCCGCCAUCUCCUCCCUUCUCCAUUUCCCCGUCCUUUCCAUGUCCUCCGUUUCCCUGCCUCUCCGCACCCAACCGCGCUGUGCGAGCACCUGGUCCUCCUCGGGUUCCGCGUCGGGCUCACCUGGUUCGUUUCUUGCAGGUUGUGACGAAGGAUGCUGUCCGUUUGCGUUUGCAAUAGUGCGUGCGUGCGUGCCGGGCGCAAACCCCUCUGCCUUCCCCGCCCCGCCCCAACAACUCACGCAGUGGCUUCUUGCUUUCCUUGCACGUUGUUUCCCCUCUCCCACCACACCCUCAUCACACACACACAUACACCCGCAGGAUGUCUUGUGCUGCGACACGUGCGAGGGCUGGUUCCACCCCUCUUGUUGCGGCAUCAGUGCAGAGGCGGUGACCACUGCGGUGGGUGCCUCCCUGGGCAGGGGGGGCCUGGGCAGGAGGGGCCUGGGCAGGAGGGGCCUGGGCAGGAGGGGUCUGGGCAGGAGGGGUCUGGGCAGGAGGGGUCUGGGCAGGAGGGGCCUGGGCAGGAGGGGCCUGGGCAGGAGGGGCCUGGGCAGGAGGGGCCUGGGCAGGAGGGGCCUGGGCAGGAGGGGCCUGGGCAGGGGGGGCCUGGGCAGGAGGGGUCUGGGCAGGAGGGGCCUGGGCAGGAGGGGUCUGGGCAGGAGGGGCCUGGGCAGGAGGGGUCUGGGCAGGGCAAGAGCGACUGCGAGUGGGUGGUGCUGUCUUUGGCCCCCUGGAGGGACCUCCCGCUGUCCAACCAUAUUGUGAUAUAGAGGUAUGGGUGGGGGUGUAUGUGUGAGAGAGAACGAGAGAGAGGAGUCCGCCCGCUCCCACCCAUCUUACUGCCCAACCCGCCGUAAACUCUGCCCCUCCUCCUCCUCCUCCUGUUGGCGGUAUCCCCAGGCUGCGGAGGGCUGGUCGUGCCCGCUGUGCGAGGCAGCCGCCUCGGGGACCCCCCUCCGGCCCCUCCCCGCCACCGGCUACCCCCCGCAGCAGGCCUUACCCCAGCAGCCCCAACUCCAGCUCCAGACUCAGGCCCAGUCGCAGUUCAUGUCGCAAGGGUACCAGCAGCAGCUGUCUCCGGAAAGUGCGAAGAGGCGGCGACUGGAAGGUGACGUAGCGGGGCCGGGGCUGGGGGAUGGCUUCCCAGACGAUGUCGGAGCGGACCGCAGCACUAGGGGAAUGCCCGGCAGCGACGCGGCUGGCAAGCCGCCUGCUGGGGCAGCGGCGUGUCGCUUCGCGGCCGUCGUGUUGUCACGUACGCGCCAAGGGCUGACGGACGUGGGUGGCGUGGAGCGAGUAUGGCGUGGCGGCGGCGGCUGGCGUGGCGGCGGCAGGGGUGGCCGCGGCCGCGGCGGCCGCGGCACGAUGGGCCCUGGCAGCGGCGGCAAGUCCCGCAGCGGCCGGCGGGCGACGUACGACUCGGAGGAGGGCGAGGACUCGGACGGCGGCGGCGAUUCGAGCGGUGAGUGCUGGAGGGCGGGAUGACGGAGGGCUUUGGAAGAAGGCCGGCGUUCGGGGUGGGAGGUAGGGUAGGAGGUAGGGUGGGAGGUAGGGUAGGAGGUAGGUGGAGGGCUUCCCUUUCGUCUCCUCUGAAGAGUCCAGGGCGCUGCUUCUGUGGCUUCUGCCACGCGACUGUCGAACAGCGUUAAGGGAUGGGUGUGGUGUUGCAUGCAGGGUAGGUGUUGUAGGUUUGCUUGGGGGGCAGAGAUGUAGAAUCACGACCGGAAAUGAACUCCCUGUCCCUCAUGUCCAUUCGUUUUUUUAUACAGACCCAUCCGUUGCUUUGGAAGCUGAAACGUAUCAUGUAAAGUACGACAUUUAGUGGGGAAAGGGAGGUCACCAGUUUAGAUUUCUUCCAACUUCUCAGCGAUUAAAAAAACCUUGCCUGCCAUUCUGUGUCCUCAUCAUUAGGAACAUAUCUUUCAUAAUGUCAUAAAUGCGACCUUUUGCGAUAGGUCAACAGGUCAAGAGAUUGGUACGCGUCGCGCGUUGCGGUGUGGCUAUGGCGCAGCUGCAUAGCUCCCCCGUCCUCGUGCCUCGGGAUUACACUGUCGAUUCACCCCCACCUGCCUCUUGCUCCUCCUCUGCCUCCUAUCCUUGAGCCGUAUCCGGGCCCAGUUUCCCCCUCCUCCUAGUGGUACUUGUACUCGACGAGAUUUCCGUUUCCAUUUCCCCGUUGUUACUGUUUGUUGCUACUCAUGGCCACUAUGAUGCACGCCGCAGCGGACGCAACAGACGCCAUGGAGCAAUCCGAACCGCAGCACCAGCAGCUGCACUACCAGCAGCAGCAGCAGCAGCAGCAGCAGCAGCAGCCGCCCCGCGGGCCAAACUUCCCAAGGAGUGCCGGCGCCGGCGGGGGUUUCCUCCGCGAGCAGCCUGCUGUCGCCGCCGCAGCAGGAGGAGGAGGAGGAGGAGGCUGGCCUGGCGGCAGCGGCAGCGGCUCGCAAGCUGCCCCCUCGGCGCCGGGGCCGGCUGCGGCGGUAGCGGACUUGGAGCCCGCGAUCUGGCGCCCCGCGGCACUCACGGUCCUGCGCGCAGUGCUGCUGGAGCCGUUUGCAAAGGAGUUCUCCGUCCCGGUGGACCUGGAUCAGGUAGGGGUGGUGGGUGCGGGUGGGUAUGGGGGUAACGGCGUGGGGGUUAGGGGGUGGGGGGAUUGUAGAGGGUGUGUUUCUUCGGAGGGAGAGAUGGCUAGUGGACGGUGUGGGGUGUUGGUUGGGGUGGAGAAGGCCCUGAAUAGGAAUAGGCCACUAUGUCGCUUCAUGCCCUGAUAUCUGAACCUGCAGUACGUGAUGUGCAGGUUGGGGGUUACAUAUACACAGAUUGUGUGUGUAUGUGUGUGAUGUGAGGCGUGUUAGCACAUGUGCCGUGUGGUAGCGAUGGCAGUGGCGGUGGCGGUUUCAAUGGCGGGCGUGCAGUGGUGGCUGAAGGAACAGUCACCACACCGUUGCUUUUAGCGCACCGUCCUUGCCUCACCUCCCCGAGCGCCGUGGAUGCUUUUGCUUUCCUGAACCUCUCAGUCGACCCGCUGGCCUCUGAUUCGACGCUUUCUUGCGCUAGGUCGACCCGCCCCAACCCUCCCCCCUCUCCGCGCCCUGUGUUGCCGCCCUCCUUCCCAGCAUCAAAACCGCCUACUGGUCAGUUCUGCUUCCUGUACACUCUUUCCUUAGCAGCAGCUUCACUCGUUCACGUGGUUCGUCUUUCCCUCCCUCCCCUUCCCUCCUCCCCUCCCCUCCCCUCACGCUGCAGAGCCCCAACUAUCUGGACCUGGUGUCCCGACCCAUGGACCUGUCGACGGUGCUUACCAACCUCCGCAGAGGUGCCUACGCCUCCUGCACUGCCGUCGCCACCGACGUAGCGCUCAUCGCUGCGAAUUGCCGUCGCUACCAUCCACCUGGCUCGCCCAUCCUGCGCCGCGCCGACCAACUGAUCACCGCCUUCGCCGCUGCCUGGCGUUCCAACGGCCUGCCGUUACCGCCGGGGGCUGGCUUCCCGUCGGACGCGCAGCUCCGGGAGUAUGAGGACGGCGGUGCUGGGGCGGACGACGUGGCGGCAGUGGCUGCGCCGCUGCCGUCGCGGCGGCCUCCGCGCCAGGGCGCAGGCCAGAAUCCUCGGCUCGGCAGCGACGAGGGUGAGGAGGAGCCCUUGGUGGGGAGGGCCGCUCCGCGGCCAGGCGGCCGCAGGCCGCCAGCGGCGGCGGCAGCCGCUGGCGCACCGUCGUCGUUGCCGUCCGGCUCCGUGCCGCCAGCCGAGACCUGGGAACCACUGGCGCUAGGCAUACUGCGGACGCUGCUGCGUGACCCACGUGCCGCUGCGUUUUCGGAGCCGGUGAAUGUGGACGAGCUGCCGGGCUAUACCAAAGUACGGAGGGGGCCCUCGCUUUGUUGCCGGGGGGGUUUCGGGGACCCUAAUUUGGGCUCUUGAGGCUCUACGAUCACUUUUCUUCCCAGGUCAAUGCGCCAGGUCCUCUGCCUCUACCCAGCCACCCGGGGGUGGGUGGAGGGGCUUAUGCUGCGCCCUGACUCCAAAAGCCCUGGUUCCCCCACAUCCAUAUGCACGUUCUCAACUUUUUCGCCACACCGGCUGCAGAUUGUGUCUCGCCCGAUUGAUCUGGGCACCAUCGCCCGGGACUUGGAGGCCGGUCGCUACACGGGCCCCGGUCCCACGGUGCUGCUCGAUGACGUGCGACUGGUCUGGUCCAACUGCCGCCGCUACAACCAACCCGGCUCGUCCAUUGUCGCGGACGCGGAGCACUGCCGGUCCGCCUUCAACCGCACGUGGCAGAGGCUGGCCGUACCCGCCGGUCUCCCAGCUGCCACCGCCGGGGCCGCCAAGCUGGUCGCGCAGCAGGCCGCCGCCACUGCCGCUACCUCCUCCCACCAUGAGCCGCACGAGUGGCCCGGUUCAGGGCCGUCUCGCCGCAGCGGCGGCGGCGGAGCUGCUGCCGCCCGCGGCGGCGGUGGUGGCGGUCCGUGGCAGGCCAGUGCGGAGGUGGCCCUGAAGCGGCUGAUGAGCAACCGAGUGGCGGCGCUGUUUCUGAAGCCGGUGGAUCCGGCGGAGGCGCCCGGGUACCUGGAUGUGGUUACGCGACCGAUGGACUUGUCUUCGGUGACGGCCAGGCUGCGGCAAGGGGCAUAUGCGGUAAGGGGCAUCGGUGGGUGUGGCGCGGAAGGUGGCGAUCCUCAAGGGGAGGAGGGGGGAAGGGGAGCUGGGCUCGGUGUUGUAGACGGACCUUGCAGCUUGACAACCUAUACAUGUACGUACAUAGCCAUGCUUCCAUGCUUUCCGAAGCAGAGAUAGUUUUUGGAGGCUGCGGGCAGUAAAGCACUCCGAAGUGUUUGAAUACAAUUGAGAUAGGGGUCUCUGCAGUGCUUCUUCAUUGCCUUGCUCGUUGGGCAAGGUGUAAUUGUGGAGUCAACAAAAGUAGCGGGAAUACUUGCGGUCUUCACAGCUGGACGCGUAGUAGUACGAUGUGAAAUUCGUCCUGGGGGCUUCGUCCUCCCUCGCCCUCCGUUGACAGGAUUUUGGUGAGCUAUUGGCUGAUGUGGAGCAGAUCUGGGAGAACUGCCGUACAUACAACAACAAGAGCUCACGCGUGUACAAGCUGGGCGAGCAGGCCGCUGCGCAGUGGCUGUCAGAGUUGGAGGCGGUUGGCCUUGCUGGUGGGGGCGGCGGCGGAGCCGGCGGCGAGGGCAGGCAGCAGCGCGCGCGGCGGCGGCGAAAGACCACGGCGGCGGUGGCAGCGACGUACGACUCGGCAUCGGACGGCGGCGACAGCGCCGGGGGCGAGGGGUUUGACUCGGAUGAGGACGACGAGCGUGGCGGUGGGGGCGGUGGCGGCCGGCGCGCUGGCGGGGGUGGCCGGGGGGCGGCAGCGGGGUAUCGACCAGGCAAGCGCGGCAGGCCGGGGGAUCCCGCAUAUGAGUGAUCGUUCGGAAUCAUUCGAAGAGUAGGGUCCAAAUGAAACACCUUAUCGAUCCAUAUAGAUAGGGCAGACGUGAAGCGGUGUUGGACACGGCUGUUGCUGUCGUUGCCGUCACUGAAGAGAUCAGGACCGUUGAAGACCCCUCAGGUUGAUGGGUUGCCGCCGGUUGCAGUUCUACAUGAUUUUAUGACAGGGAGCACCUUAAGGUUUUUAUCUUCCCCCAGUGCGGACUCCUACCUUCGUCCUGAAGCAUCGCUGACACUGCCCGGACGGGGGGGUGGCCUUAAUUACAACGGAUUUCACCUGGAGUACUCGGCCUUAUCUAAGGCAGAGGGGCUAGGAACCUUACGUAGACCGAUAGCUCCAGUGCAUGUGGCCCUCCGUCUUGCCACGGGGCUCCGCAACGUUUCGAAUUGAGCAUACCCGUGGUAAAGGCAUGAACGUAUUUGGUCAUUUGUUCGACUUGGGCGGUGCCUUGCUUUUGUUGGCGGGGUGCAUGGUACCGUGUUGGGACGACGUCAUCAUAGGGUGUGUCGACAUGGCGGUCUUGGCACUUUUUCAAAUAGAGGGGUUACGAUUAGAACACCGGGUAGCGGGGGGAGUAAAGGGUUUACCGCGCAAGGAUGUGGAACACGGAACCGUGCACUGGUGUCACGGCGGAAUGUAGACUUGAAGGAUUGCGCGUCCGGGUGGUUAUCUUGUGUGUAUAGCUUUGGAAGAUGUGCAGCCAACAUACCUGUGUCUGGCGGCCGUGCAUUCAUCGCCGCUUCGAUCGCAUAGGACCCGUCGAUAUGAGAAACUUUGUUUUGAUUCGUAUACCUCUGGGCCCGCACGGUCGCGGUCCCGGUUCACGACCGCCACCAUGUAGAUACCCGGAUGUGAGAGCGCAUCACCACAAGCGCCGGGGCCUCGAUAAGACAUGCCAGCUCGAAUUCUUUGGCCCUAUGCCUCUGGUCCCUCCAUAUAGCCUCCAUAUAGACCGCGCUCACGAUCAUCUGCACCACCACUUGCUGCAGAGCGUCCCUCGUCGGGGUCGGUCAUAUGGAGCCCGCCUAAGGCCCCAACCCCAAUCUUAGAUCAGGCCUGUCACAGUCCCACAUGAUUGCCGCACCCGCAAUCCACAGCGCAGCCAGAGGGCAACGUCAACUGUAAUGAGACCAGCCUUCCGCAUGCGAAAUGGAAGUUGUGGCCGUUUUGUGCUGAGAGCGCGAUAUCAAACGAAUACACCGUAUUUCAUACGACUUCUUGUCGACGAGAAUCACGAUGAGAAGUCUCCACGCGCAGUCGGAGUGAAGCCAUUCCCAGCCAAACCGAAAUGCGAGCCUAAGAAAAAGAAAAAGCUUGCCAACCAGUUGCUGCUCAUCAUCCACCAGCAAAUACACGGGCGAUGUAGUGCAGUCCAGACUGCAGCAUCUGGCACCCGGUGACUCGAGCAAUCUUCCCGCCAGAAACCCAUUUCGGGCAACACACAACGGCAAAUAUGUCCACCAGCGGAACCCCGCCUGCGCGCCUCCGCCCAUCAUCGGUAAAGCACCGCAACGCACGUGUCUGUGUACAAAGUAAAGCACACCCUCGCAGCGCUCACUUCCCCCGUCGGCUUUGUCUUUGCGCUAAACACCUGCCCUGGAAGCAUCGCACCAUAAGCCGCAGUGCACCCAGAGUCAUAACCAGGACCAAGAGAAACUGUGAACCAAACGUUCCAAGCCUCAACCUUUCUGUCCGUGGGGCGAGGCAAGACAAAUAGCUGUCCCAAUGACCCCCUGGACAAAAGGGCCCGUACCUGGUAGGCAUCUCCAAUCUUGCAUGAACCACACCACCUACACUAAGUGUGCUUUUGUCCUUGCGACCGCACCUAGUGGACCUCACGCAACCGCCCGGACGCACGAACGAAGGGAGUGGGACUUCAAAGGGCCGGCAGCCAGUAAGCUACAGCCCACGUGCCGAUGAGCAAAAGCUGAUGGUCUAAAUCGUCAAGCCACCGCACGGAUGCUCUGCUUCAAACGCUUCAAUAUGAAGAAGAAAUCACGAGCAAAGUCUUCAUGUACACACCCAAUAACCCGUUUGACAUAUUGCGAGGAAAGAGGAAACGCGUCCCUGCCGCUACGUGUUAUUCGAAUGUACGACCAAUUAGCUCCGAUCAGUUCCCCGGUCUACCACCGCUCAUCUAACGACCAGCCUUGAGCUAGCAGGGUCCCGAACGCACUGAGUAGGUGGUGUCGGAGACCGCGCCGCUCCCGGCGAACCGAGCCCCGAACGUGCGCCGCUGCUCAGGCUGACUCGUGGGGGGCUUCCUGGCCACAUGCUUACAACUCUGUGACCGAUGAGUUGUUGUUCAUGGGGGACUUUGGGCAAUAUGACUGGCAAGCUUGGGGCCGGGCGUCCAUUCCACCAGCCAGCCACAAACUUCCGCCGUCAGCUCCCACUAAAACUGAAAUACUGGCCCUUUGAAAAAUAAAUCCAAAGGGCCCGCAAGCCCUUACUUACUUAGCCCCACGCUCAACCCCGCUUGCGUUGCCAGGCUGCCACCCUGGAGCAGUAGCUGCAUCCAUGUCAUCGUCAGCGACUGCGGUCCUCUGUUGACCUCUCAAGGGCAGGUUCGGCCUCAGGGCCUCAGGGGUGUGUGUAUGUGUGUCUCACGGCAAGGUGCUCCCCCCGCCCCGCCCACUGAGCGCCGAAGACGACCUCCUGUUGCGGCAGCUGGGACUGGCUGUACGUGGCUUGCUGCAGCUCGCAGCCCAGCGGGGGCUGUCCUGGUGACCUUGCGCCCCGCCCUCCCCGCUCCACCACAUCACAUACAUGCCCAGCUGAGGUCCCACCGGUGGCGGUCUGUGGGGUGCCGCUGCAGCAGCAAGGUGCCUUGUGGGCCAACUUGGAAGGGCACCACCGAGUCCUCAAUCUGCGGAGCCCGAAAACCGAAAACCCACGGGGGGGAGGAGGCACCCGGUGAAGAGGCUGCAUGAAGGGUUGGCACCAACCGGGUCUGGACGGGACCACCGGACGCGGCCCCCGCGCGAGCGAUAGAACACAAAAGUGACCGCGACCCACUUCACCAGUCCAGUUGUUACACACCGAGAAAUGCACAGACUAUGUCACUACUUUUGGCGCUCACGCUGACACCGACUGGCUGUUUCCUUCCCUCUGCCCUCCUUCACGUUCCUUCCUCCCUCUCCUACGCCCCACUCUGCACCCACUCACGCGGCCAGCCGGCCAGGCGGCCACCCACCUGCACCAGCUGCAUGUAGGCCUCUCCCCCUUCCGUCAGCCGCCACUCGGCACCCUGGAACCAGCGAGGCCAGCCCAGCAGCUUGUUGCCCUCAACCGUGUCGUACAGCUUGCGAUCCUGCGCAAUGACACGGACCGUGUCCGACCCCCCCGCAACCUCCCCCGUUAAACUCCAUCGUAAUGCGCCAAGGAGGAAAUGUGGUCCUCUGCAGUCUGCAGGUUUUCGAGCAAUGCACGAUGCAAUAGCGUUUUACCUAGGUACACACACGCGGGGGUAUAUGUGCCCCCACGUGUGUUGCGGUAGGUGCAUUGCAGCCAUGUGCGCGUGAUGCCCCCAACGGAAUGUGGCAAGGGGAAGUUCUGAUAUGACUGGGCCCCCUGGUACUAUAGUAGCUACGGAUGGCCGGUUCUGCUCUGGCUUGGGGCUUGACAGUUGCAGCGUCAACUCAAGAGGCCUUAGUGCCGUCGUACAAUCAACGUGACCUACCGCCAUCGUACUUGUUGCCCACUUUUGCAACCUGCCCACCUACACACCGGCGAAGGUGAAGCGUCUCCCUCCCCCGGCAACACCCUUCUACCAACACCCCAACCUGCUCACCUGCAGGACAUCCAGGACGUCCAUAGCUAGAUCCCGGUCCAAACCCUGCGGCAUGCUCUCAAACGCAUCAUCCACGUGCGGGAAGUCGUACGUAAAACGGUAGGACGUGAUGCGCCGCUCGGCCAAGACGUCCACGUGGGGCGGGGCCACGAUCUCAGACGCGUCCCGGUAUACGAGCUGCCCCUCGUCCAGCACUCGAACCAGGUACCAUGUCCCUGCCGUCACGAAGACGCGAGGGGUAGGUUAAGGUUAUUUUUGGGUGGUGGCAUUUUGGAUUGCCAUUGCGGAGAUAGCACGAAUAGAAGGCGUGAUAAGCCGUCAUACGUAAGCCGAGGGAGAUAUGUAGGUGCCGCAAACACGAGCAAGCCCCAUUCCCCAGUUGUGCAGUUUGCCCUCCAAUUCUUACCAUCCUCCGCAUAUAUGCUAUCGGUAAGAAAGACCUGCAUGAGACCCCGGCUGUACCCCAGGGCGUGCUGCACGGCGGCUGGGAGCUCGCUCACACGAAGCUGCCACAAGUGGGUCAAACUCGCGUCAUCGUUGCACGGCCAUGACUCUGAUGGUAGGAGGUAAGGAAGUCCGCCAAUUUUGCUCUCAAACAAUCCCAACCCCCCUGGUGGAACGGGCUCACAGAUUGGCAGGAAGGCGAUGCGGCGUUUGGAAAAGAGAUAUUCCAAGAUUGCUGUGACAGCGGGGCUAGAGCUGUCCACGCGUUCGUCCAGCAUAUCAGUUUCAUCCAAAGCUUUCCUUGCGGCUUCAGCCCAUAUGUCAAACGUUUGGUAGGCGCUCGACGAUGGCGAUGAGCCGCUCAAGCUAGGUUCGUCGUAUAAAAUGAACGGGCGUCCCAUAAUAUACGCUUGGAUAAUUACGAGAUAAUUUGCUUAAACGAGAAAACACCGUCGUUCGCUGCUCUUGUCUUCAGGGCAUUAUCUGAAAUUAAAGUUACACAAAGUCUGACAGCUGGAUGGAAUUGUGUACGGACGUAUGCAUUUGGAGAAUAUGUUGUUUCUCUGGCGGUGUCUUCCGGCGCAGCGUUUCGGAGCCGCCGACAGGAAGUUUGUGCGACGCCGUGCGGAUGCGACGUGCGCAAAAAACAAAUGCACGGUGAAGCCUCCUAUUUUUAAAGCCAUUUGUAUAAGCAAAUAAACAACCCAACUAUUUCAUACCAAUUUUCGGGCCCUCCUAGUUGCCUGUGUCAACAUCGGGAUACCGUCCAUGCGCAAAGCCAAGCGCGAAAACGUCUUUCACAUCUUACCCGAGCAUUCUAAAUAGUCUUUCACACCAUGCUGUCGGUGGACGCGACUCCGCCAGCUGCAGCUGUCGCAGCUCCAAUCGUACCCGCCUCCCAAAUACUGCGUCUCUUACAGCAGGCGUCUCGCGAGGUCAGAGGUAAGUUCCACUCCCCCACUUUUGCUUUCGCCCCAGUUGAGACACUUGCUUUCCACGCCAUGAAGAACGUGCGGCUACCACCUCCCUCCAAGCUUCCUUCGCGCCUAAUCCCCCAACCCGCUCACCCACGUUCCAUCCUCCAGACAUGGGGCCCCCUAAAACCCCCAUGCACACACAUGCACAAAACAUGUAGAAUCCCCACCUUCCCCUGCACCUAGGGGAGCUCUUCUUCCGGGCCUCCUCUUGCCGCCCACACCAUCCCCAGCAUCAAGAGCAUCAGCGCAGCCAUGCAUUAAAACACGAUACUUCCCUCGGGGGCAGGAAGGAACGUACACGGGGGCCCGUACGCAAUACCCCGAACAUGCUAAACACACACACACACACAUCGACACAUACACACACAUCGACACGUACACAAAAAACCUCCAGUCGCUUCCCACACCCUCCCUGGACCCCCAACUGACUGCACCAUGCCGUACAGAUCUGGAUCUGGGUCGCUCCGUGGACCGCGUGGAUCUCCUGGAUCUGACUCCCCUGAGGUUCGCGACGGAAUACGUCCAGAGGAACAAGCCCGUGGUCAUUACGGGUGCGUGUGCGUGUGUGUGUGGGGGGGGGGGGGAGGAAGAAACCCGCCCACUGGGUCUGGAGCUGUACGGAGCUGUACAAAUAAAUCAUUCCUGUAACCCUUUCCUAACUCUCGCUAGCUUCCCGUCUAAAUGGGGCCUCCGCACACCCACACCCCUCAGGAGCUAUCAGUUGCUGGCCCGCCAUGACGUUGUGGGGGGAGCGCUACCUGGAGUCACAUCCCGCGGGGGAGACGGUUGUGACGGUUGACGUAACGCCCAACGGCAGAGGGGAUGCAAUUACGACCGUUAGUAAGACGAGCUCGCUGGGGUCCCGCGCGGGGGUGUGAGUGCGGGGACACGCUCUUCCCGAACCCAUAGCCUUGCACGCAGAUGAGAUGCUUCCAAAGACUUUUUGCUCCCUUCCCUUCUUUCAACCCCCCUGCCACUAGGCAAUCGCACCAGGCCCCCAUACCUUCCCAACUUCAAACCCUCUCUCUUCCGCACCUGCUGCCCCUGCUGCCCCUUGUUCCCCCCGGCCAGCUGACCCCGCCACGGGCGAGCUCCGUCGCUGGUUUGUGACCCCCCACCAGCGGCGCAUGACCCUUCGGCAGUUCUUCCACUUGAUGAGGGUGGGAGGGGGGUGGGAGGGGGCCUGCGGUACUCCUAGGGAUUCUAGAAUGUGCCUCUCAGUGAUCCUAGGGUUUGUGUGGACAACACAUGUACCGACCUGCAAUGGUGGUGUGCUGCCGCUGCUGCUGCUGCUGCUGCUGCUGAUGAUGAUGAUGAUGAUGAUGAUGAUGAUGUUAUUUUAGUUGUCGUUUCGUGUCUUGUUUCCUUUUCUGGAUCCUUGGUGCAACGGGAGAUGCUGUGACGACUGAUGCUGCUCUCCUGAAACACACACACGCGCUCGCACUGACAUGGGUGCCACCACACCCGCCCACCCUGGGCCCGGCCUGCGGUGGUGGUGGUGGUGGUGGUGGUGGUAUUGGGCUACCGCACCGAUCGCCCCGGCACACAUGCACGUACGUACAUACGUACAUACGUACACAUACCAAAGGCGAGCAGGGCUGCAGAGAGGUCAGAUACCAAGUCCGGGACACCGCGAGAGGUGCCGUAUAUGCAGGUACGGCAUGGACGUGUAUGUCAGAUGUGCAAAGCUGCGUGCGCCGUGUGCUAAUCAUUGCUAAUGUGCUAAUCAAACCAAGUACGGCAGCUACAUCCAUCUGGGGUCCCUGCAAAACUGUAUCCGCGUACUUGCCUGUCAUGCUAUCCUGUCUCCAUGUUUUGCGUUGUGGGUUUGUCCGCUGAUUUAUUUGUAUGUAAUGUACGCGUGUAUGUAUGUAUGUAUGUAUGUAUGUAUGUAUGUCGCUCAGCACCAGAACAGCAAUCUGAGUGAGGAGCUGGGGCUACUGCUGGGCGACAUAGGGCCCGGAAUACCCUGGGCGGAGGAAGUGUUCGGGGGGCCCCCCGAGGUGAGGUUUGGGGAAAUGGGGGGGGAGGGAGGGACGGGGCGACGAACCACUGACGAUUAAAGCAAAUACAUACCAGCGAUAGACGGAUAGUCGAAGGGGGCUGGCGGGGUUAGGCCGCCUGGCGGCCCCGUGUCCGACACCCCCGCUGAUGGGCCCCGGGCCUUCCUGGCCACAUCUUGAGCGAGCCGGUGUAACCGGUGUGACUCGGGGGGGGUUGGGAAGUUACCCCUCUCUCUCUCUCACUCCCCUAAGCUCCAGUUCGCUUUGUUGGGUUUGAUUGGGAUUAAGGGCCGGUUGCCAUUCGGUGUUGAGCCGCACAGUGGGGGGGAAGGGGGGGGAGGAGGGGGCCGGGUGAUACCCCCCUGAGUCGUUCUCUUGAAGCCACGUAGUCAGCUGCCUUGGGGACCUCUGGGGGCCUGACUGGCACAUUGACUGACUGACUGACGGAUGGACUGGGUUGAAAGACCGACAGACUGACAGACCGACAGACUGACACACGACGUGUAUUCCCUCACAUACAUACGGGGCUCCCUCUUGCUACGCACUCACGUCGUGGCCACCAAUACGGUGUUUGUCUGUCUGUCUGUCUGUGCGUAUGCCUGUACGUAUGUCGGGACCUCCCGGGGACGGGCGGCCGGGCCCCUGCCCUGCAGGCGACCAACAUCUGGAUUGGGGACGGCCGGAGCGCCACCUCCUUCCACAAAGGUGAGAGCGGGAGGGCCCUCCCAGACCCCCACUGGGUGCGUGUAUGUGUAUGUGCAUGGGGGCUUUCCAUUCGUCGGUUCCCCCUCCUAACGCCCGUAAGUGCGUGUGUUUGUGGUAGGGUUGAGGGCCGUACUGCCUGCCGUACCCGGCACGUCCCUGGCCCCCAGACCAUUACGAUAACCUCUACGCUGUCAUCCGGGGCACCAAGUUGUUCACGUUGCUGCCGCCAUGUGACGUGUACCGAAUGUACCUCACUCGUUGCCCCGCCGCCGUCUACAUGCCGCGGUGCGACGUCCCACCCGGCGGCAUGUACGGCGAGGUGUCGCCACAGCCCGGCGGCAUGUACGGCGGCGGCGGCAGCUCGUCGCACAUCCUCCGAGACGCCGCCACUGUCCCUGCCGCCAGCACCCCUGCCGUCAGCACCCCUGUCCGCUCCGCAGCCAAUGACAACAGCGCCCUGGGGGGGGUUACGGCGGUGCCUGGGAGGUUGGAGGGGGGGAGGGGGGCGGUCUCGGUUUCGGAGCAGCCCGCUGCUGACCCGACCAGGCUUGUGGCUGUCCUGCAGGUAGGGCGGGGGGCGGGAGGGGUGGCGGGAGGGGAGGGAAAGCCGCCGCGGUGUGGGGUCGGGGUGGCCAGGAGGGCUUCCGCACCGGGCGAUGGACGCUCGUGUCCGGGUUGCCAUGGCACUCGGCAGGGUGUGGUCACCUGCCAGUUUCAGCUACAUCCAUAGCUACAACCCGCAACGGCCAACUUCCAACCGUAUACAUGCCGUACCCUCACUUCUCCUUCCGUACAUAGGAUCCAGGCGACGAGGUGCUGUGGAGUGCCGUGGAUACCACCGUACAGGGUGCGGGAGGGGGUGAGGGGGUGAGGGGGGGGGGGGAAGGGGGGGAGGGGGGAAGGGGGGGAGGGGGGGAGGGGUCAGCGAAGUAACACUCUUCGUGGAGCUGAGUUCGUGUAGCCAAGUGCUUGUUGGUCUGACAUGUCGCCCGGCUUGUUUGGGGUAUGCAUGUGUGUGUGUGUGUGUGUGUGCGUGUGUGUGUGUGUGCGUGUUACGCCUUGAGGUGGGUUACCCUUGAACACACAUUAGACACCAUGCUUGUGUGUGUGUGGGUCGUGUACGAUAGACGUUCUCCUGCGUUCGGAUGGAGGACGACGCAUCUGCAUGUUCAUGGCAUAUGUACGACACGUGGCUAUGUUUUCCAGUCACCGAUUUUGAUCCCGUAUACUCCGGUACGUGCGCUGUACGACGCGUCUGGUUCAUACGGCAGAUCCUGUCACGAGGAGGACUCAGCUGCUGUUCUUCGGUCCGCUCGAGGACGGCGGCGGCGCUGCCCGGAGUCCGGCAGGCAGCAGUGGCGAUAGCAGUGAUAAUGAUAGUGACAGUGACAGCAGUCUUAGCGACCCAUGGGCCACCGCAGGAGGUCCGCCCCUCAUCGUAGAGGUGAGCUGCGCCACGUUGCGUUACAUUACCUUCCCUCCGGCAUGUGGGCGCUGUCCCCCUUCCCCCACCUUCCUCCCCCUCCUCUUCCCACCGGUGGGCAGCUUCUUGGUUCCGGGCAAUUGGCGCUUCAGACGCAGGGGAUUCGUCUUCACUAUCUGCACUGUAUGAUUCCCCUCUUCCCCCCACCCUCCGCCGGCCCCCCCCUCCAGGUGGGCCCCGGUGAGGUGCUCUACCUGCCCUCCCUGUGGUACCACCAGGUGGAGCAGUACACAGACCAGGAGAGGGGGGAGCAGGGGAGGGGGAGGGGGAGCACCGCCGCUGGGGCGGGUCGUUGCCCUCCCGCCCCAGCGGACCACGAGGCGACUGCUAGCGGUGGACGUGGUCGUGGCUGUGGUGCGGCUGCUAACGGACAAGGUCAGAGGCAGGAGCACCAACAGCAACAGGAAGAGGAGGAGGAAUACGUGAUAGCGGUUAACUUUUGGUGAGUUGGUUGGGAGUUGGUUGGGUGCUGGUGAAAGCUCGUUCCUCGUCUGGCCGGGUGGGGGGCCCCGCACCACAACAUCCAAGACUUUACCUGCGCGCCGGGGGGCCCCCCAUAUGGCAUACAUCCCCACCCCUAACCUUGCCCAGAUCCGCUGGGCCACCCUGGCCGACAUUUCCAAAACCGGCUUAUCAUGUGCUGCUGUACUGUCGUGCAGGUACGACAUGAAGUACGACAGCCGUUAUAGCGGAUUUAAGUUGGUGGAGGGUCUUGCGAUGGCGUUAGGUCUUGCAGAUCAGCCGCCGGGUAGGGAGUCAGGUGAUGACGUGGGCCGGUGUGAAGGUAGUUAGGUAGGUAGAUAUCUCCCCAGGGCUGCCGCUAUGUUAGCUGAGUCACGUUUGGGCUGAGGUGCCCAUGAAGCUCUGUGGUGGCGGUGGGAAGGCAGUUUGGAAGGAGACGAAAAAAGAAAGGAAUGGAAGGAUGCCGCCACCGUCAUUUGGUUUGCUUUAUUUUGGUUGCCCCGAAAUUACUGUUUUGCGGUCUCCGGGUACUGGUGAUCAGGAUGUUAGGCUGUGGGGUAGUGGGCGCCCCUGUGUUGCUGCAGUGGCGGAAAAGCGCUCCGUUUGCUCGCGUGCGUGCGGAGGAGUGAGGAGUUACGCCCGCCAGUGAAUUUCUGUCGGAGGGAAAUCCGUGGGCAAUAUCCUGAUGCCGGUAUUGCUGUGCUGGUGUUGCGUGGGUGUCGCGAAGCUGUGCAGUCCGCUGCGCUGCUUGGCUGGACGAAGUGACGGGGGGCACCGUGGUUAACGUGGCCGACCCGCGGGGAAGGCGGCUCCCUUUCCCCUUCCAUGCCGCGUGGAGGGGAGGGGAUUCGGGUACCUCGGGGACUUAACGAAUGGAUCCCGCAGUGCGGGAUUCAUUGACGGUACUCUGCUCCGCACUCGAAUGCCGUACGUGGGCAGUGACCGUCCGCAACUGCUGGGUUACUACAUUGAGGAGGUCCACUCCAGGAGUAGACCUCACAGACAGGACAGGACAGCUGUCCGGCCGCCGGUCGGUGGGGCGCCGAAGAGCGAUUAUCACAGCCAUGCUUGGGAGAAAGAGAGAGAGGUUUCCAGGGGGUGGGCAGGUUUUCCUAACCUGUCAUGUGUCCACCGCUUGCAGAAGCGUCCAAGAUUGGGAGCUCAUAGCGACUUCUUGCAUCGACAUGCAGGACAAGCUUCCGAAGCACCAGCACCAGGUUCCCCGUGUGCAAUUAACAUUUCUGGAACGGCAAACACCCGGGAACUAGCGCCGGCAGUACGGCAUGGUGGAAAGUUUGGCAGUUCCACUGCAAUCCAUUACUCAUAUCGUAUACUGUGUCUACGCGGCAUGAGGGAGUUAUAGGGGUCGGUGGCGCAAUGAUAUGCUCUGCUGGUCCUAUCGGCAUUUUAAGGCGUCCAAUUUACGUGCGUCCCCCCACGCGCACACGGCCAACGCAUAUACCUCGGUGACUGGCACACAUCACAUGGCACAUCACACCUACCCGUGUUGCAUAUAAAUAAAUACUCCUGUGGGCGACGGGCGUUCGCGGAGGUACCGAGGAAAAACAAAUCCUCUCUAUACCCUUGUACAGCCCUGAGACAGUCAAGCCGCCCGAAAGUAGUACGUACAUCCAUCACCUCAAACUCGGGCCUAACAGACAGAUCUGAGUACGCAUAACAGUAUAAAACCAACACCUGUCGUAUGACCUUCCUCGGCCUCACCAUGCGCAGCAUGUGUAUUAUAUGUAUAUAUAUCGUACAACGGUGUAGCCGGCAUUUAAACAGUCCUCGAGAUAUUGCUGCAUACAUUCGCCUUCAUUCGGCCCGCCACUUUGCUCCCAUACACCUAUACUCGCUAACCACUAUUAGGGCGUCUCCGAAUGUGCAAUGUAGAGAGAGAGAGAGAGACAGCGAUAGUUAGGUAAAGAGGCAGCCCCCAGGUCCCCAAAAAUUGUAACAAAAAAUAUUCUCCUGCCCACCCAUCCAUCCAUCCACCCCCCUCCGUCAACCAGCCUCAUGCCUGCCACACCGCACUUUUUCCCCUUUGCCGCCUAAAAAUAGUGGCCACUGCAAUCCCAAUGGGCGCAUCUACAACACCCACUCCUGGGCAGGCUCCCGCGACCACCUUCACCGCCCCGCGCACCUGCCACCAGCAUCUAACCCCCCCCCUGCCCCGCCUCAGGGCCCCCCUGGCCAAUAACCUUCUAUACCUACCCUUUAUACUGCUCGUAUCUGCACCACAUUUCCUCACUUCCUUGCCACUGCGGCCGACGACCCACCAUCCACUACGCCUGCACCUGCACCGCCUCUCCCUCCCCGUCCGCCUGCUGUGUCCCCGUCGCCCCGUUACUGCGCACGUCAUGCAGCUCGCGGUAGUGCCGCCGGCACACCGGCGCGUAACUCUCAGUUCCGCCCACCAGUGCCUGCCGGGUGCUAGCGGCGAUACGGAGUGUGAAGUGCGAGGGCUUGUUGCAGAAGCUGCAUCGCCCUUCCAACUUAUCGACCCGGUCAGCCAGGGGCACCAGCUCCAGAAGCUGUGUAGCGGCGGGGGGGGGCAGGGGCAAAUGGGGGGAAAACAAGGUGAGGGGGGAGAAACCCCACGUAGCAUGUUUUGCAAAUGCAAGGUGCUAAAACAUACGUCCUGUCUGUGCCAUCGUCGUUACCCUUUCCCCCGUGCCCCUCAUCCUCGCCACCCCACCGCAAACCCCAAAUGUGACAGCUUCCGACUACGCCCACUAGGUCACCCACCUGCCCGAAACGCUGCCUCCGGAAGUCCCCGUUCAGGCCCGCCACAAUGACCACCUUGCCGUCCCUCUCCGCUGUGUGCAGCACCGACUCAACCAGAUCUGGGUGGCCAACCAGCAAGGCGGGAGGCACGAAGGGAGGGGCGGGGGCGGUUGGGAAAACCAAGGAAACCGCCAACUUGACGGCGGACCAGAGCAGGAAGUGUAGGAGAAGGAAGUUUCAGAGGAAGAUGCCGUUAGGGGGGGCUUCAAAAAGGGGAAGUUAAGCGCAUCUGUAUCUUGGCCCGGUGCGGCACUCACAGCCACCACUUUACAAACACGCCUCAACACAACCCCGCCGGGGAUCCAAUAAGCUUCUACACGCAACCGCCCACCCGCCCAACCUCAUCAACAUCCUUCUCACCAUCAAUGAACUGAGCCUCGUCCACCGCCACAACAUCGACCUUAUCGUACUCUGCCGUACCCAGCUGUUCUCUGAGGCUGCCUAGCCUUGAUAGGCUGAUGCAGGGCAAUCGCUCCCCGGUGUGUGUGACCACGUGGUCAGUCGAGUAGCGGGUGUCCACCGCACUCUUCACGACCACCACCCGCUGACCCGCGGACUGGGCCUCACGAACAUGCUGGAGCAGCCGGGUGGUCUUACCAGCGAACUGAGCGAAGAUCGUGGGAGGUGCGGAAGGGAGUUGCGGGCGGGAGAGGGUGAUUGAAUGGAUGGAUGGAUGGAUCAGUCAUCGUGUGUUGUGGAACUGGGAAAAGACGGGCAGUUGAAGCGGAGCAGCACACACGACUUCUGCCGCGGGAUGGUGUGCAUCCCAACCUGGCGAUGGGAAAUUUUGGGAAAGCAGGUAUUCGGAGGGGACCCACAAAUACGCGGCUGGGGAAGCGGUGGAGGCGGUGGCUGGCAGCAUCGGGGGGUUGGGGGCCCUGAAAGCGCCUCACCAUCGGUCCCAUGAUAAGGUGAAUUUCUCCCAUGGAAUCCCUUGGGGAUUUUGUGUUAUGAACAGCAGCUGAGGCCUCAGUUCCCAGCUCGGCAGCUUGCGCACGCCAUGACGGCAUUCGUUGACGAAGUAGACUAGCAAGGUAUGAUGAACGUAAAUUUUGAGUUCGAGACAGCAGGGAAUGCAUCACGGUUGUUGACAGAGCCAGUCGGUGCCCUUUCGUCGAGUUCUGCAUGGGAACGCCGCCACCGAAAAGGGCUGUCCAGACGCCUGCUACAAUGCGGCGACGAAAGACAGUGUGCGGCUUCCUUAAGCCUUAAUCCUAUAUGUGCGGUGCGUAAGAGGGUGUGGAAACAGGUGAAAACAGGGGAGCAGCUGUCGGGCCGUCUCCCAAGCAACAAAGCCUAUGACACGUCGCCUUUGUGUCAGGAGAACAUCAAUUACUGGUUGGGCUAAGGCGGAACUCGUUGGCUAAUUGCAUUCGUUAGCGCGCCUAGGGUUUGAACGGACCCCGUACUUUGCAACCAACUCGGUAACCGACUUCCAAUCGGACUUGCAUGCGCAAUUGUGUGCUGGACCUGUAUAUGAACGGCUUGCUUCCGCUUUAAGUUUAACCUUUUCCUGCUACGAAAUCCUAUGUCAUGCGACGCACCGUGAACACACCGUGUAUGCAGCACCGUGAACCACCGAGCACCGUGAACAGCAAUGAAUCAUUGGGUACAACGAUGAAAGCAAUCAUGUUGGAACAGUUUACCUGAAAUUAAGCCAUAGGCUCGAAUAUUUAAAGGAUGGCUGCUGUGCCGAGCCGAACGGGAACUAAUUUCCUUGCCGGACGGUAUGCAAUUUGGUUCAUCAUGCCCCCUCAUGAUUACCAAACAUUUUUUAUAUCCAGCUACGAUGUCCUGUUGAUAUAGAAUAAUGCUAUAUGCCAUGGAUUUGGAGAGUUUUGGACAACUUUCUAACGCUCCGUUCCUUGGCACGGCUCCGUUCCCCCGCACGCAAGUUGGCUUGCCCGCAAGUCAUGAAGGGCUGUGGAGGUCGUUAAGAUGUCAAUAUAUUUAACAUUUGCACCACGACGUAAAGAUGUUCCGUUGAGUGCUGCUUAAGGAUUCUGUGCGCCACUCCAGAAUACCACCGUUUGCAAGUCGUCGGGACGCGAUCCCUGAUACAAAGCCUUUGCUUGCUGUUCCCCGGGAGGGGGGAAGGAAGUGCAAUCAGGCAAAGGUGAACUCUGGUCGCUGGCCCAAUUACCACGCUGUUGAGGCUAGCGAUGUGAAUACGGUUUCAUCAACCAUCUGGGAAUGCAUAGCCAAUGUCGUAUUAUAGAGCAAGGUCAAUUGCCGCUUCACCAAGUCUCCACUAGCAUAGGGUUCCUGUUGCCUGUUCUCCUCCCUGCAACUCGUCUUCUAAUUAUUACCCAUUUUGCAUUAUGGGUUGUCAUAACCAAAGGCAAAUGCGGUCUGCUUUCCUGAUCCCCUGCUGUUAAGUUAAUGCAGGGCUGGACCCGGGGGCAAGUGGGACAAGGAGCUAUAAGUUUUAUACGAGGUCUAGCCACUCAGUUCCCAUGUUAUGCCAAACAUCAUACGCCGGAAGCAAAAGCACGCAUCAUGGGUGAUCGCGUCAAAAAAGCUUUGAAGGCUCCCCAACAGGAGCAGAGGCCUCCACAAUCAAACAAAUGGCGUCAACACCGGAUACAUCAACAUCGACCUUCCUUCGCAUACCGCCAUGAAGCCCAACCUGUCCACCUCACUAACUGCUAAGGCCACACUACGCGCGGCGGCCUUGUAGCCAGGCGCGGACACGAUCAUGUCACACGUUGUCGCCUAGUUAGAUCCUCCUCCUCGCAAAAGACCCGGGCAAGAUCAACACAGGCUAGGGCACGCAGGCGGCGAUUCUAAAAGAAGCCUGUAUAGCUAGGAAUUCCCCUAGAAAGCUAAACUGGUUGGCUCCAGAAAUAAGCAAGCGGCAUAACCUUUCAACACUUAAGGAACCCACAUCCCCGAAAGGCGGUAUAGAUAAAACAGAACCCGUUCAACACAGUGAUGCUCAAGAAACGCCGAGCUGGCACGAAGACAGAUUCAUGUGAACCGUACACUCAAGGACCAGCGCGCUGCGGUCAUUCGGGGGUAGCACAUCCGCCGAUUCGACCUCGCAGCCGCCACAGUGCAGCAAAAUAAUGCAGCAAACGAUGUAUAUAUAUUGAUCCCUGGAGGGGCGCAACCCGCCAAAUCUUUAUAGGUUUGGAGGAAUAGAUGCAAGUGGAGUACCUCCCUGGUCCUCUAGAUGAGUUCGUCGCGGACCCAGACAAGGGAACCUAUGUUGGGAACAAGCACACACGCCCACCCACCACCGCGUCAACCUCCCCGCCAGGGUACGCACCCCUGGGAGAGAUGGGUAGGGAUCCCAGUGAGAGAGAUUCGACCGGACGACAGCAGGCUAGCGCCAUUAUUCCCCCAACCGGAGAUUCAGGCAACCAUAUCACCAUUCCGCACAAGAAGCGGCAUCAACCAGUAGGUAUAUCUCCAGGCACAGGACGCCACCAGAGGACGCCAAACAACGCGGAAAAUAAAGCAAAGCACAAAUGCAAAUUCUUUUCUUGUCAAUAGCAUUAAUGCACAGCGAGACUGGCAGCGAACAACUGCCGGAGAGCACACACAUUUAUCAUACCACGAAGUAAUGCUCCACCAUGAACCUCAUACUGAAGGCUGAUGACGUCAGGACCAAGCUGUCAUCGACAUGAUUUGCAAACUACCCGCCACACGCCUACAACUCCUCACACCACCAUGUAGGACGCUUGCCAUGGACCCCGCAACAACAACACAACGGCAAGCGACGGAGAACCGCUUCCGCCAAUGCCGCACAUGUAAGGCCCGACUUUUCCAUUCCAUGCACCUGCAUGCCUGCAUACAGCUAACGUCCUGCGUAGAUAUGCGAGGAUGGCGCCUGCAGGCAUUCGCCAUCCACAUGGCGAUAUCGCCACCAGCCGCGGCAAACGGGGAGCCCGCUGAAACAGCUUGCAACCAACACCACUACGUGAGGGACGCCAGUUGGCUUCCGCCAGUCACUUGUCCAAUCUACUGGCCACGCCUGGGCUACUACGGCUCUACCAAGGAACGCCACUCCAACACGUGCCCUUACUGCCGCCACCUGCUAUACCACGGCCUCCAUCACACCACUAGCCUACUAGCAAAGAGCAUCAACAGCACGAUUCGCUGCGGUUCACAUCGCAGUCACCUGCCCGCCGUUCUAUUCAGCAGGCACAACGUCAAAAAAAAGACACCAAAGGCAAAGAGCAAAACUAGCGAGAGCGCACCGUCCUACUAUAUGUCCUGACGACACCUCUGGCGAAGGAGCAGCCAGGCCCGCAGACACAAUGCAUAACUAGACGCAGUCCAUCACGUCAAACUGUCCGACAACGCUCCCUCCGAAUGCGCCAUCCAACCGCAUUGGAGAAGCACGAGAGUCCAGGUAGUACCCAUAGACCCGCAACAUGGCAACCGACUGCCAAACCGCAGAUAAAAAAAUUUAAGAGCAUGACAACAAACACGAGCAUUAAGCAUGUAUCAAGAUAUCCCACUCCGCCCCUCUGCAUCCUUUCCAGCUUCACUAGGUCAAAAGAGGAGCAAGCAAGCGACCCAUAAACCCUUCAAACGCUACGCCAAACGAUGCCAUACGACAACUAAGAAUUGGCGUUCGUGUUGGCGGGCUUGAAGAAGGCGUACAGUCGCGGGUACACCACGUCAAAGUAGGCAAACACAGUCUUGAGUGCCAGCUUGCUGCAUGGAGCGCCCUCAAUCAGGUCACAUGUGGGGGUGCCGCCAAAGGCGUACACCCGACCGGACACAUACGCCAAAUCAUCCCUGCAAAAUCAUCAAAAGGACGUUACGCGGUGGCGGGACCGGGAAGCCCCAGUGAAUAUGGGUCGAAAUGUCGGCGCAGUACAGCUUCUGGCCGCCCUUUGGGAACACAAGAAUAAGAAUUCGGUUGGGGGAAGUUACUGGAUGCUAUAUGAUAGACGGGGUCGGUUCACUGCUAGGUGUGAGCACGAGCCUCGGUUACCUACGGAGCGGCCUACCCCUGCGUUCCAACCAAAGAAAAGAGAGUCCCGAGUGAAAGCGCAGCGCUGCGGCCAGGAUCGUGGUCCCCACCUGACUACACAACAGCAACACUGUAUAAACAGCGCCGCAACACAUCCCAACAGCUCUCACCGAAAGCGGGCCUCCGGCAGCGGCGCCUUCUGCACCCAAAUGUCAUCCUGCACAAUGUACUCUUCCACGUCGUACAUCGCCAUGAAAUUCUGGGUACCGUUGCCCCGCUCUCCACCCGCCACAAUAAUGCGGCCGCCCGGCAGCGCCUCGAUUCCAAAGUCACCGCGUUUCGAAAUCAUGGGCGCACGCGGGCUCCAUUGACCGGUAGCAGGGUUGAAGGCCUGUGAUGGCAAUGCGAGGCAGGGGAGUGGAGUCGCACCCAGAUGGACCUCUAGGGGCCGUGUGGAAUUCUGGGAGAGAAGAACCCAGAUGGCCAUUUGAUGUGGGUACCAUAUCGAGGAGCUAGAAAGAAGUUGAUUAGUCCACAGACACCCGCAAUCCCAUCCUUCGUGGGACGCGAGGUGGUGAUGAUGAGAUGACGACGGUAGAGGUGCGAAUCCAUGUGGCAUCAUGGCUUGUCGUGGCAAUGCUGGAAGCGUUCACAAGGCUGUGAAUCCGGAGCCUACCUACCUCCACAGUGUUGAGGAACUUGUAGCAGUAGACCCAGUUCGCAGUGCAGUUCUGCUUUGUGUUGUUAAACCACUGCGCACCGCCCAUCGCAUAGAUGAUGUUGUCAAUGGACACGGCUCGACAGUCGCCACUGUGGGGAAGCAAGGGGGAGUCAAGGACGGCACAAUGCACAGCGGCGCGCCAGAAACAAGGAACAGGGGGAUUCGCGUAUCGUCACACACACACACACACACCACUACGUGCACAUGCAGGGGAAACUCCUCCACGAAGGUUUGUCCCUCCUCCUAACCUUCCCCUUGUGCCUUACCGCGCGUCCAGCAGGUUGCUUCUGGCGGGGAGCUGCGUGCACACGGCCGGCGCGGAGCCCGCGGCAGUGCUUGGGUCGCAGACCUCCACAGUGGAGAGGCUAUUGCCGUCGAGAUCAUAGCCGCCAAACACAUACACCUUGCGAGCCAAAGGAGAGCGCAGCGGAACCGAGACUAAGUCAACAAUGUGACCCUGCUUGCGCAAAGACUGUGUAUCCAGACAAGACGCAAGUCCCAAGUCGCAUCCAAACUGCCAUUGUGUUGCAUGAGCUCGCUGCCGUCACGCAGCGGCGGAAACCGAGCAAGUUGACUGUCCUGCCACCCAUGUCGCCAUCCCCAAAAUUCCUCUGUUAAGGACAGGUCCACACGGACUCAAAUGCCCUGCGGGGCUCACCAACUCCUAUGGAGGCGAUACAUACAUACAUGCGCACCAUCUGAGGAGCACCACCGGGUCCGCUGGGCCCAGGCAGACCGACGCACCUUUCCGUUAGCGGCGGCCCCACACGGGUCUACUCGGGGUGUCUGCAGCUGACCAAUGGGGCUCCAGCUGUUGCCGGAAAUGUUGUACACAAACACCGUGUUAGUUGGUGUGCCCUUCUCCACGUCGCUGCUACCGCCCAUGACGUAGAUUUGGCCGUUGAGCUGCGCGUAGGCGAAGCGGUACCUGCGUAUUUUUGCCAGGGGGCGGGUAAGCUUGCGGACAGGGGCGGAAGGGGUGCCCGGGAGGCGCAUGUGUGUUUCGCGCCCUUGUUCCCUGUGUGCAUCAGGUCUUGUUGACGCCAUGGCCUCCCCACAGGCCAUGGCGUCCACCCCACAGGGCCUGACAGCCGAGUGACCUAACGAAUCUGCCGUACCUGGCCUCCGGCAGCGGCUUCAUCUCGUACAUUAACCCCGUUUCUGUGUCGUACUGGACGACAGAGCGAAGCACCGUGGCGUUGGAUCCGUUAAACGCGGUCAAUCCCCCGAUCAGGUACGCGUACUUCUGGUACGAGAUGACCUGCACAAAUAUUGCAUAGAUACCAUUGCGGUGGAAAAAUAUGAGUGAAAGCCAUAGCCACGUUGGUAUUGCAUGUUGUUGGGGAUUUGGGGGUCUCGACCGUGGGUUGACACGCACAGUGGUAGGUUCGUUAGGGCACAUGCAAACUUCGAGUGAACAAACUAAAGAGACAAUAGUUAGCUAGUCUUAGUUUUAAAACGACGCACCGGCAGUGCAUAUCGGCAGUGUGAUUAGACUGCCUGAUAGGGUCAGGAAUUCAUGCCUCGACUGGGUGGCCGUUACGCGGUUCUCCUAAGAUGGAGCUAUCGGCCAUACUGCCCUCAGCCCCUUCCCCUGAAGCGCUAGGCAAGAUAAUCCCAUUCGUCUUACCCCAUGAUCGCUACGCGCAUGAAUCAUGUCUGCGGCCGGGCUCCAGUAGCCGAGACCGGUGCCCAGGGAGAACACUGAGUAUCCAGCAGGCGCGGUUUUGGGGUCGGAAACCAGAACGGCGUCUGAGAUGUGAAUGGAGCGAACACGGGCCGUAGCAUAGCCUCCAAGGAUGAAAGCAAUCACCGCGACAGCGGUGAGCAACAGGAAGUAGAAAAUUGCGCACGCCUUGCUAAGCGCUUGGAGGACUGAAGAGCUUGAGCGGUUUGUAGGCUUAGCAGCAUAUUGUGCCCCUUGCACGGUGCCGUCUAAGCUGUUGAACUGGGGCUGCUCAGCCCCAUUGUAGUAAGUGGCCAUUAGCGCGGCUGUCGAGGCGGCCUUCGGCGGCGGUUGUCGCUGUCCAGCCUUGUCUUAGUAUGUGUAGAAAGUCUCCAGUUUACGCAAACAAUUGGUUAUGGAGAGGAGAGGCUUGUUUAUAUGUGAAAACCACACCUUGAAGUACGGAAAUAUGGCUUGCAUCGACAUAAAUAUCGAAUGCAUCAUACACGUGCUGGACGUUCAUCAAUAAAAAAUACGCACAACUUCGCACAGGAGUGAACCUCGAGCUGUCAGCAGCCCUACCUUAACUCGAUACUAUCCCGGCGAACUGCUUCCAAUCUCCCCCAUCAACAAUCGCGUGUGAUAAUUGCCUCCACCUCUGCGCCGUGAUCCUAUUUACAUCGCUAACCUAGCCCUCUAUCUUCCGUCACUGCCGUUCUGGGCCUUGCAAGAUCACAAGGUCGUGUCGUGGUUUAAAUAUUUGAAACCGAAACAUGAUAACACGGCCAACGCCACGAAUUCCCGGCAAGAACGGAGAAUCAAUAUCUCAGGCCGAGUGAUAGUGAUGGUGCCCAGGGAAAGGCGUGACGCCCGUCGGCGCGUGACAGCCCAAAAGACCUGAAGCUUUUUGCCGCGGACGCUGAGUUGUACUGCGCCAUCCAUUAAUAGGAGAAAAGGGACACAGGCCGUCCUGGCGGGCAGCGGGCAUUUUUUUCCAUCCGGUCAAGCUGUCCCGACCGCUCCACACGGUCUCUGUGGGGCCCUGCACCAAGCCAUCAAGGGGGGCCCACUCACAUUAUGUCCACGAUUGGAUGUCGAACAUGCCUGCAGCUGAGAUCUAGUACACGUACUUUCACAAUUUCCCUGGUUUGGAGUCCAUUAAGACUCGACAGCUUACGCCGUCGCAUCUUCAGGUUGGACAGUUAGGUGCGAAGUGGGCACAGAUCUCUUGUCACGGAAGUCCUAAGACCACACGUCACCAUAAGCGUUGAUGUUCUCGCAUAGUCCACGUCUUCAUUCACCUUAGACGCCCCCAUGCCUUCGGCGUUAUGGGGCUUUUGGUUUGCAAAUAGCCUCUGCACAAGUCUCAACGGAGCGUAACAAACCCCAGUAUUAUGAAGCUCCCCAUGCACUUCCGUGAAAACAUGUAAGAUACAGAAUGCAUACGGGAGCGCCUUGGGCACAGAGCUGUGUCAUGCUUUGUGCUAAUGUCUGAAGGGUCUUGCCAUGAUUACGACUUGGGGCCGAAGUCGCUUGAGUGCCCCCGUCAUUCCCCUGCGCUUUCACGGCAUUCACUGAUAAGGUCGGUGCCACAUCACGCGAAGCAUACGAUCCAUGAGCUUGGAGCAGCAACCAGGCCGAGAUUCGUGAAGGUAAAAACGAAUAAAGGUCGAUAACGAUAUAGGCUAAUUAUCGCGCAGGGUUUGCCGUAUCUUCAAACCUGAGUAUCCGUACAAGUUCUGCCCGCCCACGCUGAAUGUGUGCUCAGACUGUUUCAAUAAUGCGUGCUGCGUAUAAAGCGUUAAUCAUUUCUCACAUUCAACUUAAAGUGUCGACUAGCUCUUUAAUGCCUGGAAUGCUAUGCCGGGCGGCCUGAGUUGUCCUUGAUGCUCGUAACCUAGACGGGCUUUGAUCAAUUUGCUAAGCCUCAGUAAGUAAUAUGGGCACAGAUCACGACGAACCACACGACCGCGAGAGGAGCUCACGGAAGCACAAGGAGAAAGAAAAGAAGGAGAAGAAAGAGAAGAAGGAAAAACGGGAAAAAAAGGGUCGUAAAAAAGAUAAGCCGGAGUCCUCGCAGCCUGCUUUUGAGGCCGAUGCAGACGGCGCAAAAGUAAACGAUGGCGAUUCUCCAACUAACUUGCCAUCACCACCUCACAUCCGUGACAUCAAGGAUCGUGCAAGGCGUGGCGGAAGCCCGAGCCGCAGCCGGAGUCGCAGCAGGACACGUCGCGGAAGUCCCGCGCGAGGGGACAAGAAGUCCCAGCCCCAGCAGCGCGACAAGACCAGCCCGCCUCGUGGAAGGAGCGUGAGCCCGGAUCCCGAGCGCAAGUACCGAGGCGGGCGUCGUAGCAAGAGCCCGGAGGACAGCCGACGCGGCGGGGACAAAAGCCCGCACCGCGGUGAUGAUAUUGGCAACGGCAAACGCCGCAGCCGCAGUCCGGCCGGCCGCAGUACGCGUCGAGUGGAUCGCAGCCGCAGCAAAAGCCGCAGCCCGCAAGCCAGACGGCGUGUGGGCAGCAGCCCUGAUGCCAAGCUGCUGCGUCCGACUGCCGCCCGCCGCAGUCGCAGCCGGGAACGAGGGAGGGACCGGGACCGCAAGGAGGCGCGGCCUGGACGAGCCAGCCCCGGCGCGGCACCGAAAGGCGCCUAUGCGAGCCGCAGCCGCAGCCCUGGUCGUGGUGCAAAGCGCCAUGUUAGCCAUAGCCGCAGCCGGAGCCCCCAGCGGGGUCAGAAGCGCCGAAGCAGGAGCCGUAGCCAGAGCCGGGGGCCGGGACGACAGGGGGCCGCCAGCAGAAGCCGCAGCCGGGGCCGGGCGCGCAGUCCGGAGAGCAAGCGUGCGCGGAGCAGCAGUCCGGGCAGACGAAAAGAGCGGCCCCGUCGGGAACGAGACCGUGAGCACGACAAGGACCGGGAAAGGGACCGAGAUCGUCGGAAUAAAGAUCGUGGUGAUCGGGAGCGCGACAAGGACCGGGGGGCUGAUAAAGAGGAGGUCGAGGAGGAAGUUGGUCGGCGGAGCAAUGGGGAUCCUUCUGCGCGUCUGGCUGCCGCGGCAGUAGCGUCACAGGGCGAGGGUGAUGGCAGCCCCGCCGGUGACGUUGCGGCGGCCGAUGAGGAGAGGACGGGCGGCGGUAGCGGCAGCUCAGCACCCAGCGGAGGCGACGGCAGCGACGCGGCACCUAUGGAGGAGGGCGACGGCGGCGGCGGCGGCGGCGGCGGCGACGACAGCAACAUGCGCCGCGGCACAGCGGUUGCUGAAGUUGGGGCCACAGGCCACCAUGGCCCUGCUGACGACGAUGACGGUGGCGGGCAUUGUGGCAGUCCUGAACCUAUGGACGCUGAGGCACCAGUCGUUGACAACAACGCGAAUGCGGCCGCAGAAGGCAGCAACGGCGGCGGUGUGGCGGCUCCAGGGGAAGACGAGGACGAGCUGCUACCUCCGCCGCCGUCCCAACAGUUGCGGCAUGGCCACGGGCCGGAGCUGCCACCUCACGUGGAGGACCAAGUGCAGGGGGCGCUGGAAGACGUGUACUUUCAGUCGGAACAGUACGGCGUUCCGGAAAUCACGUCCGUUCCGGGAGAGCUGGUGGUCAUGUCAGCAGCGGAGGCGGAGACGGAGGCUAAGCCGUCGCAGAAGCGUUCACGCUGGUCGCAGCCCGUCAAUGCCAUUCCAUCCGGGCUGCCACCGCCGCCGCCGGUGCCAGCGGGCGGGCUGCCCCCAGGGGCUUUGGUUGCGGGGCCUACCGCCGUUGCUGCCUCCGACGUCAACGCCCACGCCACGAUGGCUGAGAUCGACAUAAGCCGCAUGACUAACUGGGAGAUCCAACAACAGUUGGACUUCCUGCGGCAGGAUGCGGCCGCGCAAACCGCCGCCGCCACUGCCGCCACGCUGAUUGCGCGCGCUGGCGGAGGCGCCGGCCUGCGAAAUGUCGCCCCUGGCACCGCGCCCGGCGAGCUGCCGCUGUCGUCAAAAGCUAAGGAGCAACAGCGGCGGGAGCGGCAGCGGAAGCUACAGGAAGAGCUUCGGAGGCGGCAGGCGGAGGCAGCAGCGCAACCGGUGACUGUGGACUCGCUUUUUGAUGCUGACCUGGCGGCGGCGCAGCGUCUCUCUAUUGCAAAAGCCGCCGCCGCGGCAGCGGCAGCAGCGCCGACGGAGGCGGCGGCGGCGCUGGCGGCCGCCGUCGCGGCGGCAGAGGCGGAGGCCGCCCUGGGCGGCGGCAAGGCCAACGUUGCUGCAAACGCCGCCGCCAAAGGCGGCAAGAGCGACGGCGGAUCUGGCCCUGCUGCUACGACUGCAGCUAUUGCAGCGGCAGGGGGCCCUGAAAGCGAGGAGAAGAAGAAGGGCUUCAUGCUAAUCCGCAAGAACAACUUGCUGCCUGCCCGACGGGCGGUGUUCAACCCGGCCAGCAAGACGCUGGCGGCGGCGGCGGCCAAGGCGGAGGAGGAGGCGGCGGCCAAGGCGGCGCUGCUGGCGGCGGCAGCAGCCAAAAGUAAGCAGCUCUUCCAAUAUAAUGGUUUCCGCCGAGACAUGGAAAGAAGCUAAAACAACCUCGUUAGCAAGCCAUCGAUAUGGCUAUAUCGGGGUCUUGCAGCCGGAAGAUCCCAGUGUGAUCUUCAGACGAAAUAUAGCCGUGCGCGCUAACGCAUUUCAUAACACGCGCUGACGAUUAAGAAAUGGCAUUAGGCAUUAGGAUGUUUCCGAGCUCCGGCGCCCCAACACCCAAUACCUCCUCCUACCUGCUCCGGUCCUGGUGCCGUGUGAUUGCUCCGGUUGCCCCUGCCCCUGCGCCCGGGGACCACGGUUCCCCUCUUUCCCCCCUUUGCAGCGGCCGCCGCGGAGGCCGCCUUUAUGGAGUCCAUGGUAGAGGAGUUCAUGGCCUCUACCAGGAAAGCCGACGAGGCCGGUCGUACAGCAGCGCCAUCAGCCGCGGCGACGGCUGACGCCGCCGCCGCUGCAGCGGGGGCCGGUGAGGAGGACAAGGAGUACGAGAUCGGAAUUGACGAGGAGGACGACGGUGCGCCGCCUCCGCCACCGCCGCCACCACCUCCACCUGCGCCUGGGGGGGUAAGUGCGAGGGCCCGCCCUUGCGGCAGUGUUGAGGGGGUGUAGGGCUCCGAGCUCCCCCUCCCUCCGGGGGAUGCGGCCCCACAGGGUUGCACCGUGCUGUGUGGGUGGGUGGGCAGUGUUCGAAUAUUGUGGUCCUGAGGGCGCCUCCGCCUGAAGCCCACCUAUGGCAUUUUCCCACUCGCAUUCCUAUUCGUAUUUCCCUUGUAUCCCUGUAAAGUGAUUGUCCGAUUGGGUAGCCCCCUGGCCCGACUGCUGCUUGGCUCCCCAAAAUGAUUUGCAGUCACAAGUUCGAGACACUGUUGUGCAGCCCAUUCAGCUUAUUCGUGCUUUAUGCUCCCUUUCCUCUGCCUGCCUGCCUGCCUGUCCCACUUCCUUAGACGUUGUCUCGUCUAAACCUUGUCUCAUGUACAAUCUUAUGAUGCCGCCCUCCCGUGAGCAGGCGCCGCCAGCACCGCACUGGCCGCCACCUCAGCAGCCGUACGCAAGUGCGCCGCCGCCACCACAGCCCCAGUCUGGGCCCUACCCGCCAUCGCAGCCCCCGCCGCCACAAUACAUGCCCUACCCGCCACCGCAGUCGCAGCAUCCGCCGCCACCGUAUGGCAUGCCACCUCCGUACGGCAUGCCGCCACCGGCACCGGGGCCUCCGCACGGAUAUCCCCCGCAGUAUUCGCCGUACGGCCCCCGACCGCCGGCCCCGCUGCCGGGCGUCCCGCCGCCACGUCCGCCGCCCGGCGGGCCGCCACCGCCGGGACAGCACUACGGUCAACCCUUGCCGCCGCCCGGGCAACCGCUGAUGCAUCACCCCGGGCCAUCGGGCCCACCGCCACCGCCUUGGGCAGCGCCCGGGGGCGGCCCACCGCCGCAUCAGCACCAGCAGCAUCAGCAGCAUCAGGGCCCAGGAGGGCUUCACCCCUUCGGUCCCAUGGGGCAGUUCCGACCCAUGGGGCCGUCCGGAGCAGGGCCGCCACCACCGGACGGCCCACAUGGCCCACACCAGCAUUUCCCGCAGCGCCCGCCGCCUCCGCAGGGCCCCGGGUUCCCACUUGGGGGGGGUCCACCACCACCGCCUCCACCCAGGACCAUGCACCCCGGUGGCCAGCCACCCUUGCAGCAACAGCCGCCAUCGCACCAGCCACCACCACAGCAACCGUAUUCUCAGGCACAGCCGCCCCCGCAGCAGCAGCAAUAUCCUCCGGCGGAGCAGCAGCAGCAGCUCCCCCCCCCUCCGGACCAGUUGCAGCAGCAUCUGCCACAGCAGCAGGAGGGCUUACAAAUUGCACCUCAGGGCCAGCAGCAGCAGCAGCAGCUGGUGCAGCAGCAGAGCUCCAAGGCCUUGGAGAGCCCAGCGGCUGGCACACCCGGCGGCGGCCCGCCGCUGCCGCCUUGGGCGAGUGCGCCUCCGCCGCCGCCACCCCCGCCGAAGGCACAACCCCUGGAGCCUGCGCAGCAGCAGCAAGGCCUGCCCCAGCAACAGCCGCACCAUUGGCCGUUGCCGCCACCGCAGCAGCAGCAGCAGCAGCAACCAUUACCACCACUGCAGCAGCAGCCACAGGGGGGUCCCAUGGGUCAUGCACCACCACCGCAGCCGCCAGCACCGCUCCAGCACCGCCAGCCCCAACAGCAGCCACAGCAGCAGCAAACGCAUCCGGCAAUGAUGAGGGCUCCGGGACCCCACGGUGGGGCCCCUCCGCCGCCGCCGCCGCCAGUGGGCAGCGGACCCGGCAUGAUGAGCAAUAUGGGUCCGAUUACCGGUGGUGGUGGUGGUGGCGGUGGCGGUGGCGGCGGAGCCAUGGGAGUCAUGGGAACCAUGUUCAGCGGCGGCGGCGGCGGCAGCGGUAUCAACAUGGCCGCCGCUGCACCUCCGCCCGACCUGAUUGGCCUCGUGCCGCCGCCGCCACCGCCAAGGGUCGCACCGGGCAUCGAUGCGGGGCGGACUUAGGUGGCGAGGUCGGUCAGGAGGCCGCAUGCGCAAGAUGUCCAUCCUCUUACGCACUUGCAGUAUGACCGCCCUCUCCACACUACGAAUAUGAGUUACGUUCUGCUGGGAACGGCCAGUGCGUGUUGCCCGUCCUUGGUCUACUGCCACCGCCACCGCCACCUCUCCGGAGAUACCGCGGGCGGCGAUGCGAGGUUGACAACUCACGGUGCCUCUUUAACACCCCAGGUGUGAUCGGUUUGUCCAGGCGAGUUCGUUGCUCGGUUGGAAUGCGUUGUACAGAUGCUCGUGGCAGCGGGCUGUGCGCCACAAAGCGACUGAGCAUGAACAGGCGCGCGCGCGGGCGGGCGAUGUGGCGAUGAGGGUCGUAGUGGACGGGGUUGGAGGUUAGGGUGCUGGUCUUGUGACCGUGUGCGCUCGGCUACUCGCUUCGGGAAGUCUAUAAGGGGGUAGGGCCAGGGUACGGUGCUGGGACGUGAGGGUGGGUACGUGGUAUGUGUGCCCUGUGGCGAGCGGUUUAGUCGACUGGUUGACUGUGCGGCUGCCCAUCCCCCUUUCGGGUGUGGGAGUGGGAGAAUGGGCGCGACGCGAGUGACGGAUGUGGCAGCUGCGGGAGGCGAGGUGCAGGUCCCCGUGGGGGUUAAGGCGGGGGGGGCUGGGGGGGAGGGGUCGAUGGGUGCGGAGGAGGGGGAAGGGGGAAGCGGAGGAGGAACCUGCAGGAUGGACGACAGCCAGGGGUAGGAAAGGAGGUUGCCUGGGCUGCGGCAGAAGUCACAAUUGGGUUGGGUUGUCGGACGCGCCGUGUACCGGGAGUCCUUCUCACCGGUCCUGGAUGCGAAUGUAGGGGUGAUGGUGCUCAGAAGUUGCGGACCUGGGGGCGGUGGCCGUUUGAGCAGAUGGGGUUGCUGCAGGGCGGCUGGUGAGGUUGCGGGGCGGUGCACGAAUGUGCUCGGGGCCCAGCCGGGCAUUUCAGGAGGAGAGGUGCCAUCAGGUUGACCGGCUGGGGAGGCUGCAGCCUUCAUCACCAUCGCCCGCAGGACUCUCACACGGCACACGGGCGCGGGCGCACGGGUAACGGACAUACAUACCUUCUGUGCGGGGGAAGUCCUGCGUGGUUGCUGCUCUGUGGUUGCUGUUGUCAAAGGGCAGGGAGCUGGCCACGGCGCGCUGGCGUUGGCACGAUACCCGUCUGAAGCCAGAGGCAGCCGUCGCGGCGGCGGAUGGUAAGGUGGUCAUCAGCCUGAGGGAAGUCACGAUAGCUGUUCACUAGCAGGGGCAGGGGGCUUGUCGCCUCGGUGUGUAGGGGGAAGAAGCAUCUGUCCGGCCUGUGCUGACAGAUCACAUACAUAGGGCCGCACCGGACAUAGGCGGAGGGGACUGUUCAGACGGGGAUGUCCUUGUCGACCUCGAGGUGCAUGGUGCUGGCGGUGAAGGUGCAGAGCUAGGAUGCGGGUCAGUCGGCUGGUGGCUGCUCUGUCUGCCUGUGCUUACUUCUACAUUCCUGGAUCGAGUCAUUUGUCGGGGCCAGGGACCUAUCGGGGGCUUCGUUGCGAGACGUCCGUGCUUGCGCGUCAGGCCAGAAGCCGCCUUUUGGCCAAAGGCCUCGUUGUUCAAUUGCGGUUGCCGGCUAAUAUUCUUUUGGUCAAUCGGACCGGACACAGGAGGCAUAUGGGCAAUUUCCAUGAACAAGCGACGUGGCUGGAAUGCAAAGCGCAAAACGACGUGCACGCUCGUGUGUGUAUGUGUGUGUGUAUGUGUGUGUGUAUGUGUGUGUGUAUGUGUGUGUGUAUGUGUGUGUGUAUGUGUGUGUGUAUGUGUGUGUGUUGUCCUGCUUGCCGUUCCCCGGUUCGUGCUGAGGCACAGGGAAGUGUCCGCUCCGGUUCGCCUAAAUAACUACUUUAAAAACCUUCUCCCAAGGACUCGCAACUUUCGUUGAGAUCCCAUGCCUUAUCAAGGCUCCAGAGUACUGGAAGCGUGGGCAGGCAAAUCCAGGCGCACUGGAGUACAGGCGCUGACAUCACACCUCUGGUCCGCUGGUUGCGGUGCGCCAUCGAGGGCCGUCGGCAGCUCCCAAGCCAAAGGGAUGAUGGCCCUUUCUCAUCUCGCACGAUGCCGUCCUGCACGCGCUGCUGAGAUCCGUAUUGGGCUACGGAAGAGGGACGUAUGGGACCCCAUAAACAACGGAUUAUAACGCGGGCCUCGUAAAACGGAUUUUUUUUACAUCACACCUGUUCCUGCCAUACACGAGUUUCAUAGAGUUGUAGAGGUCAUCAGGCAACGCCCUGUGCAGGCAGUGAGCCAUGCAAUAACAACAGAAAAAAACUUCAACAAAUCUGCAUAUGCAUUUAAACCAGGGGGAACGCAUUGCUCCGGCAUUUCACCAGCCAAGAAAAAAACAGAAGCCCAUCCAGCAAACCGAUUGCGCCGAAACAGGGGCCCCUGCGAACAGAACACGUCAUUCCGCAGAAAUUACCAUUCAUGCACCCGCUACAGCUGUUGCCAAAAUGCCAAAACUGUUCAGCAGCACAUCUACUAGUUUGCCCUCAGGCGGGGCCCCACGUGGAUGGGCGCGGCGGCGGCGGCGGCGGUCCUCCGCUAACCGCGUCUUCUUCACCUUACCCUGGCCCCUCCCAUUUCCCUCGUCACAACUCAGAGGCACACGCAUGACUAGAAAACCACACAAAUCACAGCCUGCUGUGCAUGCCCCCCGCCACCACCAGCGUCUCCCCUGUCACGUAGGCCGCAUCUGGCGACACCAGGUACGCCACAGCUGCCGCCUGCUCCUCGGGCCGACCCAGUCGCUUCAGCAGUGUAGCCUCAGCCUGGGCGGAAGCCUGGAAAAGUUCGGGUUUUGGGUUGUGGAGGUGGGAUCUGUGGUUCAAGCCGGGGGACGAGGUGGCCAGUUGGCCGAUGGGGGACUUGCGGCAGGCUAGCAAAGUGGGACGAGUUGCUGGUGCUGUGGGUGCUACCUGUGGGUGCUACCCAUGCCCAAGUUCUGUCAGGAGCACGAAACCCGGUCAAAGGUAAGCCUGUGACCCAAGCACAACAUCUUCAGCGGUUGCAACUCUACUGCUCACCCGCAAAGCCUUACCAGGUGAACAGGCCCCCUUCCAUGGCUUCAGCCCACUCCGCAUCGCAACCCCAGGAUACAAUCUCAUCCGCCUCCUCCACCUCCCCAAUAUCAGGAUCGGCCCCCUCGUUCCCCGCCCCAUCCUCAUUAUCGUCUCCCAGUAGCCCCCCUCCAACACAAUAAAAAAACACGCACGCCCCAGCCCUUCCCCCUCGCCGCCCCGCGGCCGUUCCAACUUCCUCUUCCCCUCCUAACCCCACGGAAGCCCCCAUCACGCCUCCAACCCCCCUCGCACCCACCAGCUCCGGAGUCUGCACCAGGGCCGCAGAGAAUUUGGUUGGCACGAUACCCGGAGCCACACAGUUCACCCGCACCCCUCGGGGGCCUAGCUCAGCUGCCAGGCCCUUCGUCUGAAGAAAAAGGGAACCAGCACCGGGGGGGGGGAGGUAAUAAGCGAUGGCGAAGGGAAAGGAUAGGGAGCCAGGGGAAAUCGAACCGCGCUGAACGACGGGGACACGGAAGUCUUAUGACCCUGUGGUAUUGGGUCAUAGAAACACGAGAAAGCGGUAAUCGUUGGAGAGCCCCCCCCCCCCAAGGCAGCGGAAGCGCAUAUAAGGAGCGGCCUGGCCCCCUGUUCAAGGGGCCGGACGGAAGGAGGCAAACAGUGUACCCUGCCGCCUCCGGCAAGCAAGCCCUCCCCCGAUCACGGCCCUCCAGCAGAACCGAGUGUAGUGACUUCACCGCUUUCACCGUCCCGAUCCUCACCAAUCCCAGCAGUGCGGUCUUGGACACGGCGUACAUGGCGAUGGGCUCGGGGGGACUGGGAGGAGGUCACGGAGCAGCGACCGGAGGAAAAGGUAAAGCAGGGGGGGGAGCAGGAGGACAGGUGUUCGAGUCAGCACGGGACCGCUGGGGUAGAGGAGGAAAAGGUGCACAAGGGCCCCAGCCGCCACGCCAAGAAGGAAAGCGCUCACGAUAUUUUGCACAACGGCAAGCCAAGCAAUCGAAGUCAAGUGUGUGACGCGGAGCACAGCAUAUCCCCUUGGAGGCGAUACGCUACUGCGGUCCAAUGGCCGUCACCCAUGUCGUCUGCGAAAUGACCUCCUGGUCGUGCAGGGUUGCCACCACUACACAUGGGCCCCUCUCUCCUACUCGACCUCCUCCUCCCCUGUCCCGCCCGCCUGUCAGCCCCGCACCCGCAGCCCCCCCACCUGAAUGCGGUCACUGACGACACGAACACAAUGGAAGCCCCAGGUCUCUGAAUUAAGUGGGGCAGAGCUUCCUGGACGAGCAGCACCGCCGACUGAAGGGGGGCCGAGGGCGGGGAAGGGGGACGGGGCCCCGGCCACGGAGGGUGUGCCAUGUCAGUCAGCAUGAACACGAACAGGCCAGGGAGCAUGAAGAGCAACAAGACAGUGGGAAAGCUCUGGAAGUACGGUAUCCGGGAGACCCAUACACACAGACCCGUACUCCCGUACAGCUUUGCCCACUAACCCCCCUCUCUCCCCCCUCCCCUUGUCUGGCCCCCGGCUGCAGCCGGCGCUGCCCUGUCCCGACCCCCCCCCACCCCCCGUCUCCAGCCCCACUAACAGUCCCACCCCGCCCACCUUGAUGUUGAUGUCCAGGAUCUUAUCAAUCACGUCUGGGGGCGUCUCCGCCAGCGGCCCCGCUCCGGGGUUCACCGCCGCGUUGCUGACCAGGAUGUCCAACCCGCCGUACCUCUACAAGGGGGAGCAGCGAGCAAGUGUACGACUGCGUGGUGUGCGACUGAAACGAAACGAAUCGUGUUACAUGUGUGUAUUAGCGGGGGAUGUCGUUCACGUCGACACACGUCCAUGCACACCAUACAAUGUGUAUGGUGGGGGACGUCCGCCUGUCUCUGGCUCAGAGCCGCUGCGCGUCCCCUCAGUCGGUCUGUUGACAACUCGGUUGGCCACCUAGCCGGAUGCACUUGGGAAACACCUUCAGCUGUGACCUACCACUCCCCCGAGCCUGCAACCCCCUAAGUCCCCUCCCCCUCCGUGUGCGUGUGUGUGUGUGUGUAUGGCCAGCUCUUUUCCCAUCCCCCCACUCACCUGCACGCACUGCUCCACCAGCCGCCGUCGCUGCUCCGCGCUACCCACAUGGCAGGCACAUCCCGACACUUCCAGACCUAGGUUCCGGAGUGCCGACACCGUCUCAUCCACGUUGGACUGUUUCCUGAACGCCAUCCGUGUGGGUAACAAAGGGGAUGGGCGGAAUUAUAAAGACGCAUAAGUCCAAUUUUGAUAUUUAGGGAUGGUGGGAGGGUAUUGGAUAGGAAGGCAACACCCAAAGACUCCGACAUUUGUCGGUUGGGUUGGAUGAGGCAGGUAGUGGCCUCCCAGCCCGGUGGCUGCUGGUGGUGGCUAUUGAUAUCUUGGCGCGAUAUCACCCCCCGAGGUAGUGGUGACGACGGGAAUUCCGUGCAUUGGGUCUACGCACAAGGUGUGCCUCAUGUUCACGAGUAUUUUAAUUGCUCAUUGCGGCUACAAGUUGCGACAACGGGGGAGCCGCAGAUGGUCGACAGAAGCGGUAGAACGACCCCAUGGAAGGAAGGGAUAGCGCAGAAACCCAGUUCGCAAAUCCAUUGUGCGCUUGUGGCCCACCUUACCUGCUGCAAAUAAAAACAUUCGCACCCUCCUGCAGGCAGCACGAAUAUGAAGUGGUUCAGCGAAGGUCACAAAGGUCGGGGGCCUCAGGAGACUAGUGUCCACGACAGCAGCGGGGUCAUGGGGCCGGGAUUACCGCCUUUCGGAGGAGAGGUUGCUGCAAACCUGCCUAAUAGCUGGGCUGCCAUACCUGAGCAAGUCGCUCAGCGAUUGCAAGGCCAAUGCCAGCCGUGGCUGCAGUUACGAGAGCCACUUUGCCCUCCAGCCGUUUGCACUUUACAUCGCCCGCAGAUGUGCUCAUCCUCUGCCAAUAAAUGUUUUUACCGGCAAUUGAAAUGUAUGAAGGAUGAGGCUUAAAACUUGCGCUUUGGGCAAGGGAUGCCGAAAAUUGAGACCCCCUUGUAAGAUUCCAGCUGCGCUUCCUGACAAUCACUAUAUUGAUUCAAACUCCUUGAGUUGUUGGUAUGUUGUAAGGUGCAAUCCUGGGGAACAAGUCAUAAUCUUGUCCUUGCCGUGCAAGUGACUAAUGCAGAGCUCAACGGUUUAUAGGAUAUUACAAUACUACAAAGACCAUCAAAGGUAAGAAUCUGACGCUGCAUCAGCGUGUACUUAUGGCCUGUAUUCUUCGUGGUGCGCAUCGUUGAGUCUAUGCUUGCAAAACCUGUUUCCACCCUCCUUCGCCUCGGUCACUGCCUCUUUAAGAGCGCGGGGACACCGGUUGUGCCAUGAUAAAGCGGAUACUAUUUACAGAUUUAGCUUUCAUCCUAUAAGGUUGUCCUUGCUGUGAUGCCAGCUUGACGGUUAUCCUCUCGGUUGAGAUAUGCUAACCGCUACCUGCGAUUUCACCAAUCGCCAUCCAAUGGAGUCGCAAGGUCAUUCACCAUCUUAGAGCUUAAAUGAUUUAAUAAAAUAACUAAUGUUAUGUGCACCUCUGUAAGCGGUGGCGCUUACAGUGAAUUAGCUUUUGGAGUACGGCUGUAGGCCAACCAUCAACCACCCGGGCAUUCCAGCUGCGAGCACUUGGAGCUUCUGCCCAGAUGUUUCUCACAGGUCCUUGCAUACAACUUAAUUUUUAGGAUCGUAGAUGAUGUUCGACACCUUGAUCAUUACGCGCCAGCUGUGAUUUCAGCAUCGCUUUAGUGGCAGGGACUAGAGAAGCAAAGCUUUGACGCAUUCAUUUGAGCGAUGCAUUCGAGAUUCUACGUCUCUAUACACUAUAGUAGUUGCCAAGUUGCGCUGACCAAGGCCUAAUUAUGCCACUAAUGGAAUUUAAAGAUGUAAAAUAAUCAUGAAUGAAAUGAUGUUAAGCGUCUUGAGUUGAUAACGAUACUAAGGUAGCAUGUCAGCGCGUCGACCAUCGCGCGGGUCGGCAGAAGGGGCAACAGCGCUAACGCGCAAUAAUAGCCUGUCUGGCCUUACAGAGGAAUCAAUCAAGAGCGUAAGCGCAAUGACAGCGCGUCGACGACCCUUACUGGCCACUGGCAUGAGCUUGAACCCACGCAUUUGCAACGUGUAGGCCACACAACGCUUUGACCUUGAAAUAGUCUUCAAGCUCUCGUGGACAUACAAGGGUGCGCGAAUUUGUCGAGGCGGCUCUCGUAGACCGACCCACCGGGACGCCCCUUGUGCUCCCGCUCACACAGCCCCCUCCCGUUGCGCACAGGUCUCAUUCGGUUGUCCGGUCUGGACAAGUGCAUCAACCUUGUUGAGCUGAACCUGGCAGGCAACCAGAUCUCCAAGUAAGCUCGCCUUCCACUCCAGUAAUACUUGCACUGAGCACUCCUCCUCAGUCAGUGAUCCCAAGCCCAUCUCUACGCGAAACCUUUGAGGCACCUCCUCAGCCCUUGAGGCACCUUCUGAUUCUACCUCCUCCCUUUUCGCCCUCUCUACGGCCUGCGGUGCUGACUUCCAUCCACAAUCAACUGCCCCACUCGCAACCAUCACUGCUCCCCGCCGCCUCCUCCUCCUCAGGAUCGAAGGCCUGGAAGCCACCUUACAGUUGCGGCGCCUCAUCCUCACCUCCAAUAAGAUAUCGGCCAUUGAAGGCAUCUCCCACCUUAGCCGCCUGGAGGGCUUGUGGCUGCAGGACAACCGAUUGGCGUCCCUGGAGUCUCUGGCCCUACCUCAGCUUGCCCAGCUGCCCGCCCUGCGCAGCCUGUACCUGCAGAACCUGGAUCGCCUAGCGCCCAACGCUGUAUGCCGUACCCCAGGCUAUAAGGCGGCAGUGCUGGCGGCGCUGCCCAACCUGACCAACCUUGAUGGGGAAAGGUGAGGCCGCCAUAGAUUUGCUGCCUUCUCCUCCAUCUCCUCUCCUUUGACUUUUCCUGGCCCCCUUCACCACUCGCCAACUGAAUGGCUAGGUCUCCGGCGGCACUCAACUAUGCGGAACUCGCGGCCGAGUACGACGCCUUCCGUGCCAACCCCGUACCACCCAAGCAGUGGGUGGUGCCUGAUGUGGCUCCCUGGCUGGCGGGGGUCAGCCAGGAGGUGCCCAUGGGGGGCGGUCCGGGGGAGGUGGCGCUGCAGCAGCGACAUGCCAAGGUGAGUGGGCCACACAGGGGGUCAUGUGGAGGUGAGGAAAGGGCUCUGGGGAGAUGCAAGUGGGGUGGGCGGGUGGAUGUGAAGAGAGAUGAAGGCCGUACAGGUGAGUCUAGUCCUGCGUGUGUAUGGGUGGGUAAUGGGGGAUACAGAGGUGCCUGUUCGUCUGUAUGUGAGUAGGCGGUCCGUGGCUUACUGUGUCCUCCACGGCACGGACGGGAGCUUUGGAGGGAGGCGGCAGACGCUAGCUUGGUGCAGCAUCGCGUUGGCACUGUUCGAUGGAAACAACAAAAGCUGUCACAUCAUUGAGACAGGCCGUUGCUCCACGCAGCAGGGGGCCCCACGAGAUCAUUCAUGCACGGGCUGCGCACAGGGGAAUUCUAAUCUGUUGUCGCGGUCGUCUAGGACCUCGCUUUGGCCCCUUCCUCCUCCCUGGGGUGUUCACAUCCGUACCUGACUACAGCUGUUGCCGCUGCGCUUUGGGGCGGCCCCCUGUGUAUCUGGCCAGGUGGUCAAGGUAAUAGACGAGUGUGAAAUGCUGGUGCGGGUGCUGGGGGAGGAGAUCGCCAAGUUCGGCCGGCAGGCGGAGGCCAGGAAGAGCAGUGCCGUGGCGUCAUGAUGAAUGCACGUGAUAAGGAGAGGAUGCGUUACAUUGCAUUAAGGCGGGAGUUACCCACCCAUCCACCCGGGCCAUAGCGCAUCACAGCGCGCAUGGCACCUCUCAAACCGAGUGUUAGCUGGUGGUUGGCUGCAUGAGGCCGCGGCGGUGUUCCAAUGCGGGAGGGAGGGAGGGAGGGAGGGAGCCGUAAAAGGGGCGCAGAGGAGAGUUGUAGCCCGCGGCGUGGAUGGCUCGCCUGGACUGCUCUGGACUCUUGCCCUCUCCCAGAUCAGCCAUGGCCUGUUCUUUCGGUGCUGUGGCCCGCUUGACCGCGCCUCCGAUGAACUGCUUCACCAAGCUGCUUGAAUGGGUGAACAAUCCAGACUAGAUAGGACUAGAUGGGACCUGAGAGGGCCUCAGCCCGCAAAAACCCUCAGACCCGCCAUGAUUGAGGUUUUUAAUUUGCCAGUGGUGGUGGUGGGCCAGUGGUGGUGGGGUUGCGGAAGCUGGUGCAGUCAGCUGCCUAGUAGUGCCAAAGGAUGUCCUGGUGGGUGCGGAUGCGGCUGAAUGGGCUGCGUGCUGGCUGCUGCGCGCCUCACGCAGCCCUGGAUGACACUUGGAGAGCCCAUCAGCCAAAACCCCGGUGGUCUUUGUUCAGCGGGCGCCAUAACGAUUGAGAUACAGUGACUGUCGCCUUGAAGAUCCUGUGAAUGGCGAUGGUCGAGGAUGCUGCGUGCACGGACGAAGGUGAGGAAAGUCUGUGUGAUGAUGUGAUGAACCUGCAGCAGGUUCCCGGUGGGAGUGCGUCCAUGUCCACGCCCUCGUUCUUCGUGAUAUCUCCCCGUCGAACCUUCCAAGGUAGAUUGUGCGGCUCCGAGGGCGAGAAAACCUUCGUGUGUGCCGUGGUCAUAGCGUACGGAACUUGCCUGUCCAUUAGCCAAUGCAUGGACGAGAAGCUCAAUAUCUGUACAUAAUCUGUACAUAUUAUGUGUUCGUCACCCGGCUGUAGGCUUGGCUUUCCAAGCCCAUAACUCUCCGAGCAGACCUAAAAGCAGGGCGGGGACGUUUCCAAGGCAGCGAUGCAAUUUACAAUGCGCCUCUCUCUCUCCCCACACACCACCUCUGGGCCGUCGAGGGCUCACAGCCCGCCACGUGCAGACACGUCGAGUAACGAGACCGAGUAACAUAAGCGAACAAUGUAUCAUCUAUAUCUGGGCUGCCUUAGAUAUCCACACUCCGCAUGAUCCACAUAGGCAGGCAAACACGUUGCCGCGUCCGUUCAGAACCUGCUACAUUCCCACCACAUCCCUACGCAUCGGGCCCCGCCUUCAUGCGCCUCCCCGGCACCUUCAGAGGCUGCGCUAGCAAAACCCAAUAUGGUCUGGUGACUCUGCAGUCAUGUCUGUGCCGUCUGGAUGCGCGAUUUACGAUUUGCGAAGUCACCUCUGCCAAAAUCCACCUCCCAUAUCGAUGUAGACUCGGGAUGUGGUAUAUGAUCUCGUUCACGCUGUGCCCCCGGCAGGACUUCCUUAUGUACCCCCAGGUUGCCCUACCGCUACCGGCAACUCCAACGGCUGGUAGUCCCACAGCCGGCCCAGCAGUGCACCGCGCGCCGCACCCUCCACCACUGGUAGCACUGCAUCAACCACCUGCGUGUUUCCCCCAACACCCAUCAAGGCAGACGGUAGUGUGGGCAGCAUGGACAGGGCAGGCAGUGGGCGGCGUGAAGGAAAGGGGUGGCUCCCGGGAGCAGAUCUGACUGGUUUCGUAACCACGCGCAAGCUCCGCAUGCCGGGCCAUGUCACUGUGUGCUGAAUAUCUACGAGCGAAGUGCGGGGGGGGGAACAUCUCGUGUUUCAUGGGGCCCACACGGACUAUGCACAGCCUUCGGGUAGGGCAGAGUCGCCAACCAGCUGACGGGAAGCAGGCACCGCCAACGUGAAUACCCGCUUUCCAUCCAGGUCACAGCAUGCCUUAAUGUGUACGAGCCUUACGAUAAGCACAGCACCGUAUGCGGUGCAAGUAUCCGGCGGGUUCCCUCGACGGCUGCAUCAUUCGAAGGAGGUCUCGCAGCUUUUCUGAGAAGCAACGCUAACUGAAAUCUCAAGCUUAAAACGCAAGCAUGCAACAUGCAGCUACAUGUUGAGGCCCAUCCAAUGCGAGGCGGCCAAGCAACGCUCGCCGGCCCUUCCGCGAACUGGUCUGGAUUUUAAAUCCAUUAGCUCCCCCCUGUCCAGCGCGUCUUGAUCACAAUAUCCCUUGCACACCAAUGUCCAUACCCGCACAUACAUAUAAACACACACACCUGCUGUUGUAGGCACUCCGGUUGCUGGGUGGCGUCCAAUCGGAGCCAGUGGCUGUCCUUGAGCGCCGCAUAUUGCUGGGCCACCUGCUUCGUAGGGCGACAGGAAAGCGGCAUAAGAAUUGCUGGUGUUACGACCAGGCGGCGCCAAGCACCUCCAUGCGCUGUUAGGAGAGGCUUAGGGGGACAUUACUACAUAUUACUGCAUCUAUGACAUAUGCUCAUAUCCCUCUCCCCCUACGUGUAAACUGAGCUGCGAAAAGGAAGGAGACGAAAAAGAAAUAAAAUGGUAAGCUGGACGUGGGGCAGCCGCUACACUCCUGUUGUAAUGGACAGCGGAGUAACAGCCCCGAACCUGUGACUAUCCCCAAGCUUGCCUUGCGUUGAAACUCCAGCUUCUCGUAGCGCUCUGCGCCAAAGCCGCCUCUUGCGGCCGCCUCCUCGGCCGUCAUGUCCAUGAAUAUUACUAGGUCAGCCGCCGGCAGCCCCACCUCCACCGCUCGGCAGUAGUCCAUGGACAGGUGCGGUACGCCCUUGGCUGCGGUGUACGCCACACCGCUGUAGCUGUAACGGUCCACAACCAACGUCGUGUGGCCGGACAGAAGCCGCAGCAUCUCCUUUCUGACAGUAAGCGGAGCGAUUCCCUAAUCAAUAUUCGUGCAAUGUUUAGUUUUGGGUCGUGUCUAUGGCAUUGGUCGAGGUGCUGGUGGCGCUUAAGGUUGAACAAGGUAAGGGAGAUAUCCUGUGAUGUACGUGGUGGCAGCAGAGUGACAGGUUCCAAGGGAAAGAAGGAGCGUUCAGGAAAGACAACCAACUGGUUCCGGAGGGUCCAUGGUGGAACGCUCUCGUGUCACAACGUGGGUGGGAGGAGGGCUGCACUGCGCACAUGUUGCCAGGCCUAUUUGCGUGCUUUAACGAAUGAUAAGGCAAUUGCGCGUGAUACGCCUUCAACCGCCCCCCUUGACAAUCCCCGUGGUGCCGCGGGCUGCUCACCGCUUUUCAAAACGAUUUGCCGUGAAGAGGAGAUGGAUGGCAGUGUCGUCGUGGUCAGCCCCGUUGUGCAGGUAAUCGUUGAUUGUCUGGCCUAUCCUUGUCGAUCUAUCAGGAAAGCACCAGUGCUCCACCUUAACCUGUCCGACAACCGAGGUGAGCGCCGCAGAUGCCACCAGAGUUUGCAGCCACGCGGCAAAAAGUGUCGCCACGGUCCAGGAACAAGUCAGGGUUUUCUAACCACCAAGUAUAGAACUCACUCCGCGUCUCCUGAGGUGAUCCACAAGCAAGUUGCUCUGUGUGCUCUUCCCACAGCGGUCGAUGCCCUCAAAAACAAUGAAAGCUCCGCGGGAGCGGACCUGUGCACUGACGUCAAGAGCUGAGUAGUUACAUUUCAUCAGUCGGGUGCUUUGACAUGCGCUUUCUCUAAAUGGUGCCCGGGAUAACAAUGGCCAAGUUCUUACAGCGCCCAAUGCCGACAUCCUCCUUGUCAAGGCCCGCAACUACAGGGUUACAGUAUAAGGAAAUCAUAAGCUUUGAUUUGCAUUGAAGAUGUUAAUUUCGCACUCGACAUACUUUGCCAUUUGGUUCAACAAUCGUCGCACGUAAGCGUUACUAAGACGCACGUCAGUUGAUUUUCUUUAAAUUUGCACGAUAUGCCGCCGAUGUCACUCACACAAAGAGAAUUCCAACCGUAAUCAAAGAUCGUCGCUACCCCAUGCGCACGUCAUAAACCACACCCGUCUCCUUGCGCCGCCCUUCAGCCACAGUAUCGCCAUCGCCCCUAGCCCUAAGCCGUUACUCGAGCGGCUUCCGGCAGCACAGCUACCUGCUGCAUUUUCUCUGCCUCUCCAAUGAACACGUCGGCGACUGCAUCCGCCUCCCCGGCGGCCGCCGCGGACUUCUCAUCGGGAAAGCUACUCUGUUGACCGCCCGCAGCUGUUACCACCCUGCGCAACGGGCAACCUCAUUAGCAUAGCUACAGGCGAUGUUUGAUCCAACACUCAUCCCAACAUGAAUAGCCGUUACCGUGAUAACCUCACACGGGUAACUCACGUGGGCAAGUCAAUGGGCUUGUAGUCCCACAGCCGCCCCAGCGCACUGCCCGCAAGCGCACGUUGCACCACCGGCUCCGCCACAGCCGCUACCUAAGUUAGAGGAAAGCACUGGAAGCAAAGUUAGUGUGGAUGAGUUGGUGGGGCCUUGUUACUGCGUAUCUGCAUGGCUGUAGCUUGGGAAGUCUGUUUGCCGUAAAACAAACUCGUGCGGGGUUGACCAUUAAACCUGGGAGCUGGCGGACCAGCGACGGACAGACAGAGCAGCUUGAUUAUGAUAAUGUUGCAACGAGGGACUUUGCUGACAGACUGACCGCCCGGCUGACCUUUUGGUGGAUGUCGUCAAUGGUGCCAGAUGCGUCAAUGACAGCCCAUCGCUCAUCCCGCAGCGCCUCGAAGGCCUUCAUUACCUGCAGCAGCAGCAGCAGCGCCGCAGCCACAGCAAUCAUGUGCUACAUGCCACGGCUAAUGAAUGAAAAGCCACGACAUGCACAGCACUUAGUAGCACGUCUCUUAAGACUGGCCAAUAUGGUAGCGGGCGCGCCAAGGCUAUGAGCACUUAAGUGCACACAUCCUAUUGUCCCCCAGUGCGGCCACACCUCCAUGAACUAGCUGACACUCGGGCGCCUUACCUUCUGUUGGAAAUCCACCUUCUCGUACCUCUCUUGACCGUACCCUCCUCGCGCCGCUGUCGCUUCGGCCGUCAUGUCCAUGAAAAUCACCAGAUCAGCCGCCGGCAGGCCCACCUCCACCGCUCGGCAGUAGUCCAUGGACAGGUGCGGUACGCCCUUGGCUGCGGUGUACGCCACACCGCUGUAGCUGUAACGGUCCACAACCAACGUCGUGCGGCCGGACAGAAGCCGCAGCAUCUCUUCCCUUUGGACGGCGGCGUACAGGGAAAGCUUAUUCAAACCAGACCUCUAUGCUGUGUGCGGGCGUUGCGGGGUGUGCCAAGCUCAGAGCACGCCACACAUAUUCUCCGCAUGAAUCCGCAGGGGAGCCCUGCCAAUACAAUACGCCGCUGACACUAGUGUCAAGUCUUGAAGGAUACAAGAAGAGCCGUCCUUGAGCGCGCUUUUCGACGGGCCCGCUUAGCGACAGACCCGCAGUGUAACGCUCUUCCUUAAGUCACUUCUUAGCCAUGCUAUGGGCCUGCCGCCUGCUCCUGCGAUUUUCAGUAACUUACCACAUGGCCCUCGUCGUCAACUCCUUCAAGCUACCCACAACCGGGAUGCGGAACAAGCCCCUCCGUGAUAAGGCCCUUCCCAACACGAUGACUGCCCCAUCGGCAAACGGCAGCUGGUCCCUCAGGAUAGUGGUUUCCCUCUCCCCACCUUUUCUCCAUUCGGUUGGCGGCAAAGAGCAGGUGGGCGACUGCAUCGUCCAUGUGCGACUGCUCCACCAGGUAGGCGUUGAUGGCCUGGCCAAUGGAGGUGGAGCGAUCUGGAAAGCGCCACAUCACCGCGUCCACCUGGCAGGGCGGCCAUUCAUCGGGCGUGAACACAGGAUGGUGGGGACUAAACACACGGGACGAAUCCUCCAGUCCCACUGUCCCAGCCACAGCCGGCUCCCUGGGCUCCAAAUGAGCUAAACCCGUGUAAGCAGCAGUCGGACGCUAUGUGGAAAGGCAGCCAGGCAAUUCAGUCUGCUUGGAUGUGUCGGCCCAAUGAAGAAGCUCGAUGACGUACAUAGGGGAAAACAGGAGCUUGUGGCUUUUGGACACGGCAGCAUGUGCUCACAGGUAACACGCCGCGGGUGCCAGAGGAUCAUUGUACGGUUAAAGUUAUGAGCUUACCCCUUGGCUCCUUAGCCGCUCCACGAGCUUUCUGCAUUGUGUUGUUUUGCCACACCUGUCACCACCCUCAAAUACAAUGAGGGCGCCCCGCGAGCUUUGCCCAUAGCUAACUUCAGAGGUCAUACUGUUCGAAGUACAAAAUGAAUUCGCGAUGCACCACGGAAUGUAGAACAGACCAAUAAAAGGUUUCUUCAAAUGUUAGUUACGGAGCAUGGAAAUCGGGACUCUAGCAUAGGUUGUAGACGUUACAGCAAACGUAAUGAAUUUGCAAGCGUACGAGGUUCCUGCGGUUUCAACAUUAGCGGUCGGGUAGCCUUGCGCCUAUGCGCGCCACCUGUCGGCUUCCUAGCUCCUGGAUUCGGAAGUCCAUCGCAAGGCCCUCAUGGCGCCGCCGAAAGCAUUUAAUAAUCCACUUCUUUGUUUUGUUAUUUAUUCCCUCCACUGCGGUACUACAUGUAAAGCUGAGCAGCUGGUUAUGCAGCAUCUUUCCCAGACUACUUCGCCGGCAUCGACAAGUUCUGUCCUGGUAAGUGAGAUGCAACUGCUCUAUAGAGCCUAGGAAUGUGGUCCUGUGAUGGCAGUUUAAUCUUUGAGACCUUACGCUGCCUAACGGCGGUGAUGCUGACAAAUAGCUUUGCUGAGGACCGACUUUGACAACUCAGUCUUUCCUCCGUGCGGGCCGCCCAUUUGUCAUGGCGCUGUACCGCCCCUUACCAACUGAGGAUAGUAAUGCUCUGCUGUCCUAACUUUCUGUGCAAGAAUGCGCGGGCUUGGGCACUGGCGCGAUAUAGCAUGAGCCUCUAGUCAUACCUUGACCAUGAGCAGCAGUGCCUGCGAACUAAUACAUUGUUGAGAGGAUGACGAACCAAUCUGUAUCCAACGCUUGAUCAGAUUAUACAUGAUCGAAGUACACAGACGCUGCGUUCUUUCCGACUCUGCCAAUGUUUCUGUGCAUGUGUCUUCAUGUUAUAAGGCCGCAUGUGGUUGAUGAUCUUAUUUAACCAUAUCUUAGGACACCUUCAUAGGGGGUACAGCCACUCCCAAUGAGAGUAACUAUGGUUCUGACACAACGCGGCCGCAAACCAUGGCAUGUGGCAUAAUUAUCAGCGCACGGUUCAACACUGUGCCAUAUGUUCGUGAAGGAUGUUACAAAACUUUCGUUCUACCGAGAAGGGUUGGCUCAGCCACCCUGCGUGGAAACAAUUGGAGACCUGAACUGACACGAUUCGACCUACACUAUCCCUGCAUACAUCUACUUCUGUAUUACCAUGGCAUGUGGCAUAAUUAUCAGCGCACGGUUCAACACUGUGCCAUAUGUUCGUGAAGGAUGUUACAAAACUUUCGUUCUACCGAGAAGGGUUGGCUUAGCCACCCUGCGUGGAAACAAUUGGAGACCUGAACUGACACGAUUCGACCUACACUAUCCCUGCAUACAUCUACAUCGGUUCUUCCUCUUCGACCUGCUGCUGAUCGUUGGUUAAUGCUACCCCUGCAGUGACUUGCCACCUAGCGUGUGCUCAUCGGCUUCGACACGAAGAUCUACCCAGUGUCUGUCCUGCGAGCGCGGAGCCCAGUUCUAUGGCAACUUCUGUCAGUUUCGGCCAGUCUCCUGGGAAGACCAAUUUCGUCCAUGUUGAUGUGCAUCCUGGCGGCAUUGCAUUGGUUACCGUAGCCAAGGAGCCGGUGAACUCCAUGGAUCUGGCGAUGUGGGCGCGUCUCGACCAGGUCCUGAUGGAGCUCGAGACGAAUCCCGCCGUCAACGCUGUGAUAUUCGCUUCGGGCCUAAAGCGUGAUGUGUUCUCUGCCGGCAAUGAUUUGAUGGAACUGUACGCACCCAAGACGACGUCUGAGCGCUACGCAAGAUUUUGGACCACACAGAAUGCCUUUCUCGUGCGUUUAUAUCGAUCCCGGCUUGUAACGAUAGCUGCGAUUCGCGGUGCAUGUCCUGCAGGUGGAUGUGCCAUAUCCUUGUGCAGCGACGUGCGUCUCAUAACACCUGAAGGCGUGAUGGGCUUAAACGAGGUGCAGCUGGGCAUUCCAGUCCCCAAGUUUUGGGGUCUUUUGAUGGGCCGGGUGAUCGGGCCCAAGGUCGCGGAGAGCGUGUUACUGUCUGGGAGGAUGGUGCCCGCGGCUGAGGCGAAGCAGUUAGGUCUCGUGGAUAGUGUCGUGCCGGCUGAUAGGUUGAUCGAGGAUGCACUCGUCGCCGCACGCCAAGCAUGCAAAGCGCCUUCUGCCGCACGUGCGGCAACAAAGGCGUUGCUCCGAGAGGAAUUCUGCAAGGCGUGGGAAGGUUUUUAUCCCACGGAGCAUGAAUAUGGUUGGAAGUAUUUGAGCAGUCCCUCCACGAUUGCUGUUCUGGAGGGUGCGAUGAAACGCCUUUCAUCUAAAGCCGCUCCUAAGCAGGAGGUGGCCUCAAAACUCUAGUCUUGUGCUGUACUUUGUGCUUAUGUACGCUGUAUUUUUUUCAACUGCAGUGACUUGUAUAAUAAUAUGCCCGUCAAAUUUCUGGGGAUUUUUGCUGUGUCAAUAUUAUAAUUGACAUUUUUUUCCUUGGCUGCAUUAUGAACAUCUCAGAUGCAAGUCCAAAUCAUUGAGCUGAGCUAAUUGGUCGGCUCGUUACGCGUACUCGUUUGAUCGUCAUCGUUAUAUGAAAGUAGCAUUCUGCCUCUAAUGUUGUUGCGGGAAUUGUGGGAAGUAGACACACGUUGUCAAUAUAUAAACUUCUGGUGAAUUACCGUUAUACGGGUACCAAUGUAACAUGACUGCAAAGCCUACUCAAUGAAUGUAACAAGGGAUAGAGUAUACAUAUUAACACUAUUGAGCUUCGUUACACAAGAUUUUAGAAACACCUCAGUACAUCGGAAGGUACUUGGAAAAACGUUUAGAUUUCUACAAACCACACUACGAAAUUCAUCAAACCAUACCGUAAGUCGACACUUAUCCUACGUAUUAAUUACCUUGGCUACGUUCAGUAUGAAGGGCCUCCGCCCGUGUAUGACGGGUUGCCAGAAUGUGGAUAGGGGGGUGCAGAUGCCUGCAACUGGUACGCAGGAUAUGGUAACGCAGCAGCGGCACCAAGCUGCUGCGGCUGAUAGUGCAUCUGGUAUGGCAUCUGCCCUUGCUGUGGAUGCAGUUGCUGCAUGUGAGGAGGGUUGCUCGGCUGCUGGGGCUGUGGCUGAGACGCAUAUGGUAUGGACGCUGGACCUGUCAUAGGAGCAUACAUAGGGUUGGGCGUGGCGCCCGGGCGCCCGGGCGUGGCGCCCUGUGGCAGCAUUGCUGUCGCAACGCCACUGUACGUGGCCGGUGGAGGCUCCGCCAAGGACUGCGGGUUAGGUGCCUCCUGGGUCACCUGCCCGGACGGUAACAAAGGUGAAGGACCCGACACCGGCGGGCUUGCAUGGAGACCGCCAGACGUCACCAUUGCUGUGCCCACUGGCGGUAUCGCUGGGUAACUCCCUGGUGCCGGAACAGCCGUCGGACCCCCUGCCGGCUGCGGUGGAUGCACCAGCGGCAACCCACGCAACUGCUGUUGCUGCUGCUGCUGUUGCUGCUGGUCAAUGUCACUCUGUAGCCCGAACUCUUGUUGGCUGCUGUUCUGCGGCACCGAGCCCUGUGGUGGAUACGGCACCGAACCCUGUGGUGGGUACGGCACCGAACCCUGUGGCGGGUACGGCACCGAACCCUGUGGCGGGUACGGCACCGAGCCUUGUGACGGGUACGGCAUCGAGCCCUGUGGCGGGUAUGGCACCGAACCCUGUGGCGGGUACGGCACCGAGCCCUGUGGCGAGUACGGCAUCGAACCCUGUGGUGGGUACGGCAUCGAACCCUGUGGUGGGUACGGCACCGAGCCCUGUGGUGGGUACGGCACUGAACCCUGUGGUGAGUACGGCACUGAACCCUGUGGUGAGUACGGCACUGAACCCUGUGGCAGAGCUGAUGCCUGCGGCGGUGCAGGUAUAGACGGGGCCAAUGUCUUCAGUGAGGCCGGCUGCUGCCCCGGCUGCUGACCCCGUUGCGCACUCGACGUUGAUCCCUGCUGCACCGCCUCCACCGGCAACGCCGCGUCCAGCCCCACCCCCGCUGCCACGAGCUCCUCCUGGAAUUUCUGCAUCAGCGGUUGUGGCAGCGGCGGCGCCACCGGAAGAGGCACAGCGCUGAACGAGCCCGGCGGCAACUCCAGCACUGGUACGUCAAUGUCGUACGUAAACGGCCGCACCUCUUUGUAGAGAGGAUGCUCCACGCGCAACUGGAACCAAAGCGAGCCAUCCGGUGGACCGCGCGACACCCCGCCAGCCAUUGCGGCAGUGGUGGCGGCGGCGCCUUGCAGCAGCGGCCGCUCGUGGAUGUCACACCAGUUGCGUGACGCCUUGAGCAGGCUGUUGUUUUCAAAUAUGCCGCGCAUCUUCUCCCGGGUCAUCUGCACCGGGGAGCACCGGAAGGCCAGCCAGCCUGAUUCAUGUUGUGUGAGCUCCCCGCUGUACUCUGCUGCUCUCAACCUGGGCUCCCAAAACCGAACCGAGACACAGCGGUAGCUAUAUGCGGCCCAAACCCCCGAACCGACCAAACGCUAAUGCGCCCCGAGCUCCCAGACUCGCCGAGCCCCACUACCCCAAAUCGCGCACGCAAGGGACCACACCCUAGGUAGCCACCUACCGCGUCAAGCAUCUUGGAUUUGUUGCUGGCUGUGAGCGUCUUGAUGACCGCAUCCGGGGGUGGCACGUUGCCGAUGGCGGAGCUAAUGAUCUGGACCAUGUGUCUGAGGUGGGGAGGGCAGGGGCCAUGGCGGAACCGGGGUUGCAAAGGGAACAUUCCAGGUCUCUCCGCGACCGCACGCCCCUGUCGUCAGGCAAGGCUACUGGGCCCCAUGCUUCUCCGCCCUUCUCUCCCCGCUGCCCCUCCUACCGGUGGUCGGUCUUGAGGUUGAUCUUGGGCAUGGUCUGGAAGGCCGCCACCCCCGCACAGUGCACAUCGCCGGAGAGGAUGCUGAAACGAAAGCCGCGAGCCUGUUCCCGGGGAUGGAGUGGAGCGGAGCGGUGAGAAAACCAACGGCUCGGUUCAGGACGGUAUGCGUCCGUAAUAGUGCAUGCCACUUGGGUGGCGGCACAAGAGACAGGACAGACCCGGAAUAGCAGCACUCCUUCCCUUCCCCCUCGCGCCCCAUCCAGACCUGCGCGCCUGAGCCUGCGCGCCUGUCCCCCCACCCGAGCCUGCGCGCCUGUCCAAUUGUUUGAGUUGGGGUUUUUUCACUACCGCCCAACCCCCCUCUAGCCUUCCGUACCUUGGCCAGGUCCUGCAUCAUCCUCACGAAGCAGUACUUCUCCAUCUCGUGGCUCCGAGCUGACCAGUGAUCCAACAGGUCGUCAAGCAGCUCAGGCUCACCUGCACGAGAUUGGAGGCCCGGGCGGAGGGGAGGGAGGGGAUGAGAGAGUGCCGGGGUUGCGGUAAUGGUGAUGUGCGCAGGAGAAGGGCAGGGCGACUGUGGGGAGCCACUGCUACUGCUACUGCUACUGCUGCCGCAUUGGUUAGGGCAGAGUCGCGAUCCCGCGGACAUAGGUCCGAGCGAUGUGGUCGUAGCUGCUGCAGGGCGCAAGAAACGACCCGCGGGUCGGCUCGACUCACCGAAGUGGCUGUAAAUCUGGCUAGACAGUCCCGUCUUCUGAAGGAAGGCCGUCAGCGCGCUCACCAUUAGGCCCGUGCCGGCCAGCGCCACUGCCGGGCGGGAGGAGCGGGGCGUGCGAGAUGUGCGGAACGGCUUUGGGUCGGGGGAAGAUGAGUUGCCGCACGUUGUGGCGCUGUGCCGGCGAUAGCUCAGGCAAUGAGGGGAAGAAUGCCAAGUGCCAUCCAAGCCCUCCCCAUGCCCAACUUCUCUCUCUGUCGACAGCCCCGUCCGGCCCUCUCCCCCUUUCCCCUGCUACUUCCGUCAUAUCCCCUGACCCCCAGCAACGUUUCCUGCCCCAAUCAACCGGGCCCCCAGCACCCAACUCAUGGCCUCCUCAAUCCCCGGCACGGUGGGGUACACCAGCGGCACGGUGGCCACCGCCACCACGUGGCGCACGCCGGCAGGCAGCUUGACGACCUGAGGGGGGAACGGGGGAAUGAACCAGGGGGAUGACAGGAGUGGCGAGGUAUCCGGAGGGGCGGGGUGUAACCCGACAGCGAGACGAGAGCCAUGGACAUACAGCUUCGCGUUCAGACGUCAUCGAUAUUCGCUCUAAGCGAGCACCCACGCAGACACCCACCCGCACAAAGUCCUCCAGAGGCAAGAUAGUCACCCACCCACACACCUGGUCGGCGAAGGCAGCCCAGGAGGCUGGUCGGAUGAUCUGUUCGCGUGUUCGCUCACCCCGGCUGUCCAGCCCCACCACAGCGGUGGUGUUGCCCAGCAUCAUCGUCCAGGACAGACCGGUCAGGCCCCAGCCCUGCGCAACAGCCACCAGGUGGAGAGCAGUUAUGGGAGGUGGAAAUGGAACGGCGUAGCAUUCUGGUUCAGAGGGGAGCAUGAAGAGAUCGGGGCCUUGGAAAAGGGAGGGACAGCUGCGCGGCGGAAAGCGGAAAGAAGCGGGAGCGCUACAGCUAAGGCACUCGACCGUCGCGGCCGCACCUUGUUGAGUUCGCGGUAGUUGUUUUCGGCCGCAUGGCACUGGAACAGCAGGUAGAACUUGCGGGCCACAAAGUAAACUCCCGCGAACACGGAGCACUUUUGCAGCUCGGGGGGGUAGGAGCCCCAGCCGUCAAAUAUGUCAUGAUCGUCCCAGGUCAUCACCUGACAGGGGCAGGAGAGGGCAGGAGAAGGGGGCGGGGGCAAGAGGAGGAAGAGGAAACGUGCAGCUGUCAGGGGGCACAGUGGCUAAGAACAGGUUCCAGAACAAGCCGAUGAAUAGAAAUGUGCUUCAGUGCAACAGCAUGCGAGCAACCGGUGUUCGCUGUGUGUGACAAAAACAAGGCUUGCGCGAUGCUGAUGUGCGCGUGUCCCAUUCUUCUACUUUUAGGGCUUCAUUUGCUGCAAUCACAAAGCAACCACGAAACGCGGUUACGAGCAGCAGCCAGAAGCAACCACGGCGCCUGCACACCUGCGGUAUGCUCGCCAGCGCAUCGCGGAACACCUCCUUGCCGAAGUGUGUGGUGUAGUUGCGGAAGUAAAAGUCAAACACCUCGUUGACCAUGUCCUGACUGAACGGGUGCGCGUUGCGGCUGGGCUUGUCCUGGAUGCUUAGCCACUGCGUCCGACAGCGAGCGGGAGAAUCCCCAACCACCAAGUUCCAACCAUCAACCGUCAGUGCGAUCCGAAAAAUCGAGGCAUGAGGACAGGACAGGACAGGACAGUGGCUUGCAUGGCAGGGGAUCACCGGAUGGGCGAUAUCAGGUCCAAGCAUGCGCGUACCGCAUGUGCACGCAUGUGGACAUACAGCAUACAUUACAUACAUAUAGAUGUGUAUUCCAGGUGCCAGAACGCAUUGAUGCGCUCGCACACACAUGAGCCUAUACGCACCUUCACCAGGCUGUCGACCUUCCACACGUCUACGAAAAGAACAGAGGGCCGGGGAGCGGGAGGGAGGGCUCGGGUUAUGCGGGUUAUAAGAGAACAGAAGCAGCACGCUGGAGGAGCCAUUCUUCUCACAGUCCUUCUCCGCAGUCCACGGCCGUUACUGCAGCUAAACUGCCGGUCCGACAAACUGACUGGUGCUACUGGGCAGGCAGGGGAGUGGUCGCCCUGGUCGCCUGGCGCUGUCCGGGCCAUGGUAUAUACGGCGGUAUGCCCCACUACAUCCCGAUAAGGGCCUUGAUCGGACAGUCCAGUGUUUGAGUUAUCAUUAAGCGCACAUCACCCACCAACCCGUGAUCUGUAACCCACCAUUUACUCACAGGCCCCCACCCGGGGCCCCACUACAGCUCCACUCGCGGCCCCUCCUUGGUCCCCAGGAGCUCCACCCCAACGUACCGUCGCAGUAGAGCUGAUCUCCUCCCCCAAACAUGACGUGAAGCGGGUCCCUGGUGUGCACGUGCAUGACGUCCCGCCACAUGGGCUGGAUGCCGCCGUUGAGGAGCUCGUCGUUGUGGUCGUGAAAGCCGUUGCAGCUGUAGAAGCCCCAGUGCCACUUCUGACUUGCUGAGGGCAGGUGGAAGCAGUUGCGCGGGUGCGGGGUGAACCAGUGGUCCUCGCUGCACACCUCGAAGUACUCCACCACUGUAGGGUCGUUCCCCAGCUGGAAGGCCAUGUCCCACCGCCAGAAGUUGUAGCCGGCGUACGACCACAGCAGCAGGGGGUUGCGAAUCUCCUCGCUGCUGCCCUGCCGGCGCGUGUCGCUGUGGGCAGGUCCGGGCGAGGGGGGGCUGAGGUACAUGUACAGAAGAACUACGGGGCCAUCUGCCGAUAUGCGAUACGUCCAAAGCUCACCAAGGGCCCCCCCCCCUUCGCGCCACCAAGGCGCCGUCAUGUGAACAUCAUGCACCUCGCCCAAGGUGUGUUCAGGGCCCCGAGAAAGGAGAACUCGCCGCGAUCUUGUGAAGGGAUGGAGCAGUCGAACGGCACUAGGGGGGACAAUCAACGUACAGUCCGCAGCCACGGGUUUCUGGUGAUUGCGCAACCCCCCAACUCUAACCCUGAAGUGCCCUCCUGGGAACUGGAGGACCCUCAAUACUCUGCCUCUCUCCCCUGCUCCCGUGCCUUACCGGUACUUGAGUGUGGGCGGAUAGCGACUUCGCGACUGGUGUAUGACCAUCAUGACGGAUGCCGAGUAGAUCCGGGUAACGGGGUCGUAGCCGCCGUACCGAAGGUACGGACCGUACUUAUCCUCCAGGGGUGCAGGGCCGCUGAACUGGGGGUCCACCGCGGGCGCCUUCUACACGAGCAAACGUAUUCAUGUAAAAAAUCUCAAAGUAAGUCUACUCCAGGACGAUUAACCCCGGCUGGUGUAUUUAAGGGUCAGCAAUUGGUUGGGAGUCUCUACUGGCCACCCGUAUCUUGUUCUCGCAGGUAUACGCCUGCGGCCCCUGUCCGUGCUGCCAGUCUCCUGAAACCGUCCCUCUCAGGCACCCUCUCAAGCGCAUAUCUCGGGUUGCGCAUUUCACCCUGGCACAGGGCCGCUGACCAGCCGGGGCAGGUCUCGGACCCGACUGAGCUAAUCAAGCUGCACUACCUAACAAGCUAAUGGAUUCGAACCUGCAACAACAAAUCCUCAUCCUUAAAAAGUGGGAGCUCCAUCGAUAUAAUUAUUACAUGUAUAACAUGUGUUGCGCCUACCACUCAGACGCAAGCUGUGCGGUGCGCAUUGCGCACGGAGGCGGCGACUUGGUCUGCCAUCUCUAGGCGGAACAGAGGUUUCCUCCGAUCCAAUUGCUCCCCUAAACCCCUCCGGUUUCUCGCAUUUAACACACAUUUCGCAGCACGACAUGGCUUUCACGGUCUUUCCUCCCUCCCUCCCUCCCUACCGCUGCCGCCCCGGGUGACGAUGCGGACCUCCCCCUGCUGCUGCUACUUGGCACCGUGUUGAGGCUGCCGAACUUGCUGGGACCCAGCGGACUGGACUGCAGUCGGGCCACCUCGUCGGCGGGUGGAGGGAGCCGGGAGCAUAGACCCCCAGGCGGGGGAAUCACAGGCACUACCGGGGCGCAAAGGGGUGGGUGGCAGGGUGCGGGAAGCGCGGGGAGUUCACAGCGGAAAACAACAGGACUAGAAACGGGGAUGCAUUUGGGGUUCUGGCUGCUCAUGCCGUAUUCAAAUUGUAUGUGGUCUGUUAACUCGUAGCUAGCGAACGUGGCGUAUUUAUAAUAGCCUGGGGGAAGACCAAAUCCCAGAACCCCCCGGAUACGUGAGCCCGCCCUCCACUGGCGACCCCCCGAGCCCCCAGAAAGGUCCUUUCAAGCCUCGGUCGCCUCGGUCCGACAUUGCCUCACCUCCGCCUGGUAGGCCCCCCACCAUGCCCCCUCCCAGUUGCGGCGGCGCCUGUCCGACCGAGGAUUCGGGGACAGGGGGGUAGAUACCGGGUCGCUGAGGCUGUGCGGAGGCCCCCUGAACCAACUGCAACGACUCCAAGGCCUGUUGGGCCUCGUUGACCUGCUGCUGCUGAAGCUGCUGCUGCUCCAACGUGGCACUGCCUCGGCUGCCGAAUAUUCCCAGGAUGCUCUGGCGCUCUGGCGAGGCCUGACCCGCGCCGGCGGGGGGUGAGGUGGCGCUGUUAGCGGGCUGCAGAGUGGGUGAGAUGACACCGGGUUGCUGCUGCUGCGGAGGGGAGGUGACAUUGGCGUCUGCAAGGAGGAGAAGGGGAAGCGAAGGGGGGUUAGGUAGGCGGCAGGUGUUAGGUGCUAAGGGGGGGGGGAGCAGUUCCUGCCAUCCAGCCGUGGGGGAAGGUGGGGCCAUCCCUGCGGUGGGGUCAUCCGUAGUGCCCACCGGGAGCGACUGCAUGGGUGUCGGGAUGACCUGCUUUGCCCAAGGCAGCAGCGGUCACGGCGGGCGACCAUGGCGGCCUAAUCUUAGCCACAGCGCAGGGUCAUCAUGAAUACAUGACAAUUGGACGGUCGGUGCCUUAACCUUACACCAUACUAAAUGCAUUGAAGCUGAAGCGAACGAAAUGCGUCGGACUACCAGAAUGUCCCCCAUGUCAAUAUCUUACCAGUACCCCCCGGGGACCUGGAUGACAGGGUUGGGAGUCACUAUCGGUCAACAGUUGUGUCACCAUUCGAUGGUCAACCAACCCUCCCUCAGGCACCCUCUCAAGCGCAUAUCUCGGGCUGUGCAUUUCACCCUGGCACAGGGCCGCUGACCAGCCGGGGGUUGUCCAAGCUUCACUCCAUAAAUUACUGGCGUGCCGACACGGAUUCGGAAUCUGCAACCUUGCAACUACCAAUCCUCAUCCUUAAGGAUUGUCUAUUCCGGCGACAGAAUGUCCUUCCAGUCACACACACAAACGCACGCCUUUGAGGUCCAUUCCAUGCAGGCCCCUUGGACUGCCUGGCUUCAAUUGAGGGCUCGGGCUCCUUGCAUAAUUGUAUGCAGUUGUUCCUUGGCUAACGAGUUUUUGAUCCUCAACCCCCCUCUCAAUCUCCCCCUUGCCAUGUGCAACGGCUCCUCCAGCUUCCAAAGAACCUUGCCCACCUGAUGGCUGCUUCCGUGCAAAGAUGCGCAUUAAACCCUUCAUUGGGGAGGCGGCGGCCCCAGCCGGAACCGUUUGCUGGUGUUGCAGCUGCUGGUGCUCAGGGGGCGCAGUCAGCGCAGUCACAGGCCCUGCUGCCGCCUGUUGAGGUGUUGGUAGCGCGAGCUGCGACUGCAUAUCUGCAGGUGGCGACUGCUGGAACUGUUGAGGAUAUUGUUGCGGCGGAACCAUCUGCUGCGGCGGGGGCAUCUGCUGCAGCUGGGGUUGGUAUGACAGAGCCUGGCCCAGCUGCCCCGAGCUGGGCGGGGAUGGGUACCCGCCAGGACUGCUCACACCAGCGUAAGAAUUAGAAGGGCCUGCGCCUCCUAUUGACUGUUGCGGUAACAUUACUGAGCUGCCGGGAGGCGUGUUUACUGUCAAUUUCGCCUCUGCACGUUCAGUUCGAGCACGAUGGAUCGUAGGCCAAAAUUAGUAAAUGUAGCACCAUAAGUGAUCCCUGCUCCACCUCUGUUUUGGGUGAGGAGCUUUAGGCACACUGAUUGCUUAGGUCCGUAACCGCUAUCGCGUCGCUGCCCGGAGCCUAUCCUUUUAUUGUGGAUUUGAGAUCAAAAAAAGUCCAUAUGGACAGUAAUAACCGCAAGCUUAAGUUACAAACGCGCAUUCGGCAGUGUGUGGAAUAGGUUUGUCACUUGGGAACCGUAAUAAGAUGACCCACACAUAAAACAGGUAGACAAUACCGUAUUCAUUCACGAAAAUACAUUUGCUAUGCCGUAUACAUGCUUUCCCUGUCUCUUAUGCAUGCCUUCCAUGGCAAGGCGCAAGGCCUCCCUACGCAGGAAUGGGGAUGGAGGGGUCACGGGAAAAGAGCUUUUCGGACCAAUACACAUUCGAGAUAAUCUUUUUCUUAUUUUUCACAUUUUUUACAGCUCAGCUUCCCUGUUAUGAGUGCCUGUCCAUUUGGAAGCGACGUUGCAAGCUUAAAGGUCAAGAGCGAUUAUACGCUGUUCCAAAGAGGGUAAUCAACAUCUUCCACUAUGCUAGGCGCGAGUUUCUCCAGUCGUACGAUGAUUCAAAAGUUUGCGUGCCAUGCUUAGAUUUGCGUUUGCUGUACAAUGUCGUGACCUUGAGCGGGUACAAAAUGUUGCCGCGCAGUCAGUGCUGGUAUCAAAGCUUUACACGAAACUUUCAUUUACUGAUAUAUAAGCUCGUUGGGACGCAGGUCAUUACGCCUCGCGAACCCAGCCGGUAGAACUUCUGUUAUAAGCCCUUCGUUUUCAAGUCUCCUAAGCCUAUCUUCCAACCAUGCGUGAGGUCAUCUCCAUCCACAUCGGCCAGGCCGGCAUCCAGGUGAGGCGGUAAAGAAGCCUUCACAAAGACGCGACGCGUCCCUUCGUUGGCUGAGCGGUUUACCACUGGUUGCCUCGUUUACCACUGUUAAUCAAGUCUAUUCGGUACAUUUACUUAGGGGAGUGUCCCUGCCUUCAUGUAACUUUAUAGCAUUCAACCGAGAGAUCUGCUGCUAAGCAUAUGCCGCUCACUUCUGCGGCUUGGCUUUGUACGCAGGUGGGCAAUGCCUGCUGGGAGCUUUACUGCCUUGAGCACGGCAUCCAGCCGGAUGGCCAGAUGCCUUCGGACAAGACGAUUGGCGGUGGCGACGAUGCCUUCAACACUUUCUUCUCUGAGACCGGUGCUGGCAAGCAUGUUCCACGCUGCAUUUUCCUGGACCUUGAGCCAACUGUUGUGGACGAGGUCCGCACUGGUACUUAUCGCCAGCUGUUCCAUCCCGGUAAGCAGAGCGCGCACCCAUAUGUGCCUUGCAUGUAAUGAGUUUCAUCAUCUGUUUUUCCCUGUUCACUGCACCUCACGGACAUGCAUGAUGUACUACCCAUGUUGUGCGAACAGAGCAACUGAUAUCUGGCAAGGAGGAUGCCGCCAACAACUUCGCGCGCGGCCACUACACCAUUGGCAAGGAAAUUGUGGAUCUGGCCCUGGACCGCAUCCGCAAGCUGGCGGACAACUGUACCGGUCUUCAGGGCUUCCUCGUAUUCAAUGCCGUGGGUGGUGGCACCGGCUCUGGCCUUGGCUCCCUGCUGCUGGAGCGCCUGUCCGUCGACUACGGCAAGAAGUCCAAGCUCGGCUUCACCGUGUACCCGUCGCCCCAAGUGUCGACGGCUGUCGUUGAGCCGUACAACUCCGUGCUUUCAACUCACUCGCUGCUGGAGCACACGGAUGUUGCCGUCAUGCUUGACAAUGAGGCCAUCUAUGGUGAGAGCGCCGCUUGUAUAGAAAUGUGCACAUCUCAAUUGGUGGCUCACUAUAUGCUUGAAUCAGACCAUUCAAUCACACGUAGCGUCAAAUAACAACUUACUCUUAUUUCGUCCGUCUGCAGAUAUCUGCCGUCGCAGCCUAGACAUCGAGCGCCCGACCUACACCAACCUGAACCGUCUGAUUGCUCAGGUCAUCAGUUCGCUGACGGCUUCUCUGCGCUUCGAUGGUGCCCUUAACGUCGAUGUCACUGAGUUCCAGACCAACUUGGUGCCCUACCCUCGCAUUCACUUUAUGCUCAGCUCGUACGCUCCUAUCAUUUCCGCCGAGAAGGCUUACCAUGAGCAGCUCUCGGUUGCUGAGAUUA
rnacentral:lncRNA from 1 species